rnacentral:lncRNA from 1 species
AAAUAUCCUAAAGUCUUCCUUUCAGCGUGACAAUUUCUUUUCCCAAUUCAUUUGGCUGUAUAUUAUUCUAGUGUCUUGCUACUAAAAGAAGAGAUCAUUGACACUAUUUGUUGGGACAGAUUUUGUCAGAAAAGCAGCGAAUUGAAGCAUCGCAUAGUCCGCCUACAGAGGACGCUAUGCCUCCACCACCAUCGUAUAAGGAUCUCAGCCGUAGCUUUGCUUCUGAAACCUAUGAUGAAUUGACAGAGUUGAGGGACUCUUUCUUAGGAGAGGUAUCUUUAUGCUAAUGUUGUUGUAUCCAAGUUUUAGUCUGUUCGACUCUUUAGUUUCUAGUAACUGUUUCUUUUCGCCUACCGCAGGUAAUGUACACCUUCCACACUGUAACUGAUGUGGAGUUAAGUUUGUCAUUCGGGGAUUACGUUGUCGUCCGGAAGGUUCUGUCAUCUUUCCUGCUUGCAUGCUUUCAUCUUAUAUUCAUGUUCGGAUUUAUUUCUUUCGUAUUGAGGUUAAAUUUUCAUGUUCAGAGACGUUCACUCAGGUAUGUUCGUCAAUGCAUAUGCAUUAGCACACCACCGAGUGUAUUAGAAUAUGGAUUUCAGUUUUGGGUGCUGCAUGCAUUAAUGUAGUUUGUGUGGUUUUGGUUAUUGCUGCCGCUGAGCGUGAGUGGCUUUCUGUAGUUGCUGAGAGUUAUAUUGUGAGCAUAAUUCAUACAGCAGCUUUCAUAUACGGCACAUGUAGUCGGCACUGCAUUUAGAAAGAGAAAGUUAUAUUUUCUUCACUGUCUAUUCAAAACUGUUGAUUGAUAAUAAUUGACUCAAGUGAAUGCCACAUCAUCUGCCACAUCAUCUGCCAUGUCAUUCAUAUUUCUGUUUUGAAACCUGUUGUUCCCUUGAUAGCCUUGAAUAUCACCAAUUCGGGAUCCUGCAUUUGAACUCUCUCCUUGUGAAUACCCGGAAUUCUGAUGACCACCUGUGACCUUAUCUCCUUGAACAUACAUUGCAGCCAUGCCACUUGCCAGCGUAGAGACCCUUGCUUCCAUAGCAGAUUCAACACCAAUCAACUGCGCUCUGAAAUCUUUCAGCGGAAUAGAAGUCUCCCUUGCUAAAACUACAGCCUUGACAAUAUCAAACUCCGGUGGUAAUCCAGAUAAAGCAGUAAUAACAAAAUCAUUAUCAGUAAUCCUCUCCCCUGCAGACACAAGCUGAUCCCGAAUGGCUUUCAACCGAAGCAAAUACUUGUCAAUAGAAUCACUGCCUUUUUGAAUUGUAUGAAACUCAAUUUUGAGUUGAUUAAUCCUAGCCCUGGACACAGACGCAUAGCGGUCUUGUAAAUUUAUCCAAGCUUCAUGAGACGUUUUACACCCUAUUACAUAUUCCAUAGCAUCAUCCGACAAAGUAGCAAUUAACAGACUCAAUAGGGCCAUAUCUUUCUGAACCCAAGAUUUAUAAGCUGCUGUGAUUUCUGUAGUCACUCCAUUCUCAGUGUUAACCACAAACUUUGGUGGACAAGGAGACUCACCAGUAAAGAAUUCAAAGAAAUCAUACCCUCGUAAAACCGACUGAAACUGAUAAUUCAACUUAACAAAAUUGUCAUCUUGCAACUUCACAGUCAACAUACCAAGCAAACUUUCAAUGCGUACUGAUUUAUCAGACAUCUUUAUCACAAAGUACUGACAAGAAAUCAAUCUCAAUCACAAAUAUGUUUAACUCCAAACUUCAACAAUGAUCACCUCUUCAAUAUAUUCUCACUACUUCUUGGCAUCGGCCUUCUAUAUGUAUAUACUUCAAAAGCUGAAAUUCCAGCAAUUUCGCAAAUGAACAACUGUAAUCAUAUCACACCACAACUAUAAUUCGUCUAUCUUCAACAAAUCUUGGCAUCAGCCUUAAUCAAAUCCAACACAUAACCCAUAUAUGAAAAACCAAAGAAAACAUUCCAAUUCACCAUAUAUCUUCACUGAAGCAAAAACGCAAACACUUGAUGUGCAAAGAAUAAGGAAAGAAACCAACAACUUGAUUGAAUGACCCUCAACCCAAAAUUCAUCAGCAAGCGUUCAAGCACUUCACCAAUCCUCCAAGAACUCCACCACAGCCUUCAACGAUCGAUCCCAAAGAAUUUCUCAGCGGAAGAAAAUACCCAAAAAAAAAAUCAACCUUGGCUCGAUACCAUCUUAACCAAGAAGAUCAGACUUGCAGAAAGAAAAAGAAAGAAACAAUACAGAGAAUAUAGAAGAAAACUUAGAAAGAAUAUGAAAGGUUUUGUAUUGAUAGAAUGAUAUUUUCUUACAAACAAUAAGCUGCAAUCAGCUUUUUAUAUCCCUAUAGUAGCCUAACUACCUUGCUUACUGUGUAAGCUACACAGCACCAUCCUAACUAACUUUCAACAGAAAUAUGAAUGACAUGGCAGAUGAUGUGGCAGAUGAUGUGGCCUUCACUUGAGUCAAUUAUUAUCAGUCAACAAAAACUUAUAUGUUGCAUGUUCUGGCUUUUAAAGUGAGUCGGCAUCAGAGUUUUUAUUUGAGAAAAAUCAGUUUUGUGUCCAUGUGUUUUCAAAGAAAAUAUUUUUGUUUUUAAUCACUGAUUUUUCAUUGUGCUUCAAUUAGAAAUCAAUUAUGAGAAUCUGCCUUGUGAUUUUCGUAAUUGGUUGAUUUCAAAAAAUCAUUACAUUUCAUACAUUCUGCAUGAUCGCGUUAGUAUCUUGCAAAGUUCGAGGACACAAUGAUUGACGGUCGCGUUAGUGUCGUGCCACUUUCACUUGAAGGCUGAAGAGAUCAAGUAGCAAAGCGCAAUGAAAAAAAUUGCCUACUAGUAUGUGGGUCUAGUUAAUGAGUUUUGUAAGUCUUUCCAUACUCAUUUCUCUUAUUGUUUGUUCUAGCUUAAGAGUCUGAGGAUUUUCUCAGUGGUGAGUUUUACCUUGUUUAAUUCUACAUCAUGUGUACACAUGUUAUUUGUCUUUUUAUUGCAAAUGUGUAGGAUAAUCUUUCACUUAUUUUCUUAUAGUGAACUCUAUCUUAGACAUUCAUCAACAUAUAGAGUUUACGACAGAGGACUUUUGCUACCAUAUUAUUCAGUGCAUUGAUUAAUUUGUAAAGCUCUCAUUUAUCCAAAUUAUAAAAUAUAAUCUGUACAAGACAUUAAAAAAAUGGAAGUGUCUUUCAACAGUUUGGAUGUCAUGUAUGGCCAUAUCCUUUAUUUCCAGAGUAAUGUUAUUCAUACCAUGUUUUUAUACCACAUUUAUAUACCACCUUAGGUGGCAUCUGAUGUGGACAACCACAUUAUUUGAAAAAUUUGCAAAACUCGAGAAAAUGAAGGAGAAAUACUCCUUGUAUGCCACAAUCAUAAUUUAAUUAACUAGUUUUUCUUAAUUAUUAGUUUAUUAAAUAAUGAACUAAAUUUAAAAAUCUGAUUAAUUGAAAUGAUGUGUCUGUUCACAUCAAAUGCCACCGAAUAUGGUAUGAAAAUAUUGUACAAAAACAUAAUAUAAAUAACAUUACUCUUAUUUCCACCAUUCUUAUCAACUGGAUGGGGAUAUAAAGACAUAAUGUGGCAAUCGUCCAUUAGAAAGGUAAUGUACGUUUUGAAAAUCGUGGCAAAUAUUGAAUGAGUAAUGACGCCUCUAAAAAUAAAAUUUAGUUAUUUGAAAGAAUCUUUCAUAAAAUAAAGUAACGAAUAAUCAACAAAAGUAGCAGUACACCAAGUUGAACCUUUUUCAACGUUGAAAUGAAAUAUGAAAGGAGAUCAAGUUGAUAUUAUUCAUCUACUUUUUUUUUUUUAAUAAACGAUAUUGUCUACGUUAAGAAAAUGGACUUGGCUAAGCCUCACAAUGGACUAGCAAUAAUAUGAUUCAAAUUCACAUUUAGCAAGAAUCAAACCAAAAGAAGAGAAAUAUUAUUAGACUGUAACAUUAUUCAUCCACUUUUAAAUAAUAAACAAUCAAGAAAAACACUGCACGCAGUCCCCUCUCGUCACUUACCACUAGUGCCAUCACUUCCCUGAGCAAAAGAGAUAUUUCCAAUUGCUUGACCAAAACAAGCAUUGAGUUCAUCCAUCAAUAACAGGUCCACAUCUCAACCCAAAUAUAAUGACGUCAAAGGAUAGGGGAAAAUGAGAAGGAAACUCUGGAGGGUAGAGGGAAGGAAAAGGAGAAAAGGACAAAGGAAGAAGGGAAAAGUAGAAAGGGAAGGAGGACAAUGAGAGGAAAUUUCGGAGAAUAGAGAAAAGGAGAAGGGAAAAGUAGAAAAGGAGAAAGGAAGGGAUAAGGGGAAGGAAGCUUAGGAGGGUAGGUAGAAGAAUGCAUAAAAAUAAAAAAUAAAAAAUAUAAAAGGAGAGUCGACUUCACCAUUAUGUCUACUAGCGGAAAGGAGCAACAUUGUAAAUUAUAUUUCGUAUAAUGAGAAAUUAGUAUUCCUACUUGAGGAUAUGACACAACUUGCCGAAUCUCGUUACGAUGCAGCAAGUUUAUAAUUGCACAACAAUUUGAUCAACCAUCUUAAGUUCAAGCAUACAUGUAUUAAGAUUCAAAUUUUUCCAGAUUUUCCUUAUGAAACUAACUGAACAUUACAAGUGCCACAUUAUUAUACGGUUCUAUCAAGUUUUAAUUAUUGUCUCAUAACCACAUCAUCUUUAGGACAAUAAUCUUGCGGUUGAAUAUAAAAACCUUCGACAUGGUGAUAUUGGAAACACUAGUUGGUGGGUUGAUUGGUAGAAAUGGUUCCAACACUUCAAGGAUGAGAAAUGAGUAUUGAGCAACGAUCAAAAUAUAUUGUAUUUUAUCACAAAAGAUGUGUGCAAUUAAAAGUGCAUUUUAUUACAAAAAAGAUGAGCAACGACCAAAAUAAUUGUUAUUUAUAAAAUCACACAUAAAACAAGAAGGAAUCUUUUCUUUUUCUUUUCAUCUCUGCCACUAGCGGCCGACCAUGACUUAAACCAUCUCCAACCCUUGGGCUAAAAGCCAAAUUUUUUAGCCCGGAAAAUUUAGCUUUUAACCUAGAAACAUCUUUCUACUCCAACCCUUCUACCCUAAAAUUUUAGCCCGGAAUUAUUAAAGAAUGAAAUUAGCCUAAAUUUUUUUCUUAAAUCAAUUUUUUUUUUAAAAUAAAUAUGUAGAUUAUUGUAAAUUAAUUUUAUGAACAUUUUAAUCUAAAAAAAUUUAAAUUCCGAUAAACAUUUCGCAUUUAGCCCGAGGAAAGCUGGGGGUAUUUGGCCCAGAAAUAGCAUUUAGCAUUUAGCCUAAAAUUUUAGCAUGGGUUGGAGAGUGUUUAGGGGGUAAUUUGGUAGGUAAUUUGGCUUUUAGCCGAAAUGGUCUUAAAGAAACGCUUUUUGGGUCAAUGGAUGGGAACGACCCAUUUUAUAAUAUUGUUUGUAAAUUUUUCUGGAAGUAGAUGGAAAAGACCGAUGUACAUAUUUCCCCUGCUCACAGACAUUUGCAUUGCACCUAGCAAACACCAGUUUUUUUGUUUGAACAUCGAUCCACAUCAAUGGCUCUUGUGAGAACAUCUCCAGGAACCUCCUCUGAUUCCAACACUUUUCGGAGUUAUCGCUACGACGUGUUCUUGAGCUUCAGAGGCGAAGAAACUCGCAAGACUUUUACCGACCACCUCUACACAGCCUUGAACAACGCAGGAUUUCUUACGUUCCGAGACGACGAUGAACUUGAGAGAGGAGAAUAUAUAAAGCCAGGACUGCAGAAAGCGAUCCAGCAGUCGCGAACUUCUGUUGUUGUGUUUUCGAAAGAUUACGCGUCAUCCAGGUGGUGUCUUGAUGAGCUUGUGCUGAUCCUUGAACGCAAGAGGACCACCUCGGACCAUGUAGUUUUACCAGUCUUCUACGAUGUCGAUCCGUCCCACGUGAGGAAGCAGACAGGAAGUGUUGGAAAAGCAUUUGCUAGAAGCCAGAAAAAUCAGUCGUCAGAAAAGGUGGAGGGAUGGAGGAAGGCACUUACAGAGAUUGCAGACCUAGCAGGCAUGGUCUUACAAAAUCAAGCUGAUGGGUAACUUUCAUUAUCUCCAUUUCUCAUUUCUUUCUUGGGUCAAUUUGAUGUAUGAUCCGUAGGGACCUAGAUUUGUAUGUAUUUAUUAAUUCAAUCUCAGUAGUGAAUAAUAAUCUCAAUUUAGGUCAACUUAUAGAAAUCACACUCAACUCAACUGAAGGAUUAGUCAUCUUCAAUGUUAAUCUACUGGUUUCCAGUUGCUUAAAUUUUUUUGAAAGCUGGUGUGGAAAAAAGUUUGGAUAAAUUAUGCGCUGUAUUCCUUUCUCUGUAACUUGAUAUGUGAUGUAUUUGUCUAUAGUUCGUAUAAAUUAUGCGCUGUAUUCCUUUCUCUUUUUUUUUUCAAUUUAAUUUUGUCAGCAGUCCUCUUUUUUUUCUUAUUUAAACAAAGGCAAUCAACAUAUGUUUUAGUUAUCUAAUUUCCCCAAUUCAUUUUUCAUUUUGUUUGCAAAUUCUUAGGUACGAGUCAAAGUUUAUCAAAAAAAUUGUUAAAGUGAUAGGAGACAAGUUAAGUCGCAUGCCAUUGAGUGUUGAACCAAAAUUGAUUGGAAUUCAAUCUCAAGCCGAGCGCAUCAAUUUGUGGUUCCAAGAUGGAUCAAGUGAUGUUGGUAUAUUUGUUGUGUAUGGCAUGUCUGGAAUAGGGAAGACAACCAUUGCAAAACAUGUUUACAAUUCAAACUUUGGAAGCUUUCAAGGAAGUAGUUUCAUUGAAAAUAUCAAAGAAACAGCAGAUCGACCAAAUGGCUUAGUUCAAAUACAAAUGCAACUUCUUUGUGAUAUUUUGAAUGGCAGAGAAGUGAAAAUACACAGUGUUAGUGAGGGAAUAAUUAAGAUUGAAAGGGCCAUAAGCUCUAAAAGAGUUCUACUUGUUCUUGAUGAUGUUGACCAUAUGGACCAAUUAGAUGCAAUCCUAAGGAUGAAAGAUCAGUUUUAUCCUGGAAGUAAGAUACUAAUAACAACUAGGUGUGAAAGGUUGUUAAAGGCAGAUCAAGUUACAGAGGUGCACAGAGUUCAAACUUUGGAUGACAAUGAAUCAUUAAAGCUUUUCAGUUGGCAUGCUUUUGGCCAGGACCAUCCCAUAGAAGAAUACAUGGAGCACUCAAAACAGCUAGUGCAACAUAGCGGCGGACUUCCAUUAGCUCUAAAAGUUUUGGGUUCUUCUUUAUCAGGAGGAAGUAUAGGUGUAUGGGAAAGUGCAUUGGAGAAGCUAAAAGUUAUUCCUGAUGGUGAAAUCAUGACUAAACUAAGAAUAAGCUAUGAAAGUUUAAAAGAUGACCAUGACCGGAAAUUAUUCCUCCACAUUGCUUGUUUCCUAAUAGGAAGGAACAAAAGCUACAUUGUUAGAAUAUUCGAUGGAUGUGAUUUCUAUACAAUCAUUGGCAUGCAAAAUCUCAUUGAUAGAUGCUUGGUGACACUUGAUGAAUACGGCAAGGUGAAAAUGCAUGACAUGAUUCGUGCUAUGGGAAGAGAAAUUGUUCGCCAAGAAUCAGAAGAGCCUGAGAAACGUAGUAGAUUAUGGCGCCAUAAGGAUUCUUUCCAAGUAUUGAGGAAAAAGAAUGUAAGAAACAUGCCUUUUAUGUCUAUAUAUGUAUUUCUUCUUGUGAAAAUUAUGCAUAAUAAUGUCUUUUUUUUUCCUUUAGGGUACAAAAAAAAUCCAAGGUCUUGUCCUGGAUAUGCGUAAUCAUCCUGCAAACAAUCCAAUAAACACAAAUGAGAUAGUCUUGGAAACCAAUGCAUUUGCAAAGAUGCGUAAUUUACAACUACUCCAUCUUAGUCAUGUACGACUGGAUGGAUGUUAUGCAGAUUUCCCUACAGGAUUAAGAUGGUUGUGUUGGCUUGAAUUUCCUUUGGAUUCUAUACCAAUUGAUUUUCCUUUGGAGAACGUAAUUGUUCUUGAAAUGCAAUACAGUAGCUUGAGACAAGUAUGCAAAGGAACAAAAGUAUGUUACUCUAUACAUUUCAAUUCAUUUUACUUAUUUUGUUAGUUUUUUAUUUGUUGAGUAACUCCAUGUGUUAAAAUGAAUUACUAUGUUUUCUUUAAUUCGAUGACUAAUUUUUUAUGUUAGAUACUUAUUUCAUUGUUCUUUUUUCUUUUCUUUUUUUUUUCCUCUAUUUCCACAGUUUCUUCCAUCGUUGAAGAUCCUUGACAUCAGCCAUUCUCAAUGCCUUAGUGAAACCAUUGACUUCUUUUCCCCAAUCUAGAGGAACUGAUUCUUGUAGAUUGCACAAGCCUGAAGAAUGUUCAUGAAUCCAUUGGAAACCUGGAGAGACUCGUGUACUUGAAUAUGAAGGAUUGCAAGAAUCUUAGGAUGCUUCCGAAGAACAUGUGCAUGCUUAAAUCACUUGAAACACUCAUUUUAUCUGGUUGCUCAAAUCUUGAUGAGUUUCCAGUGGAGAUGAUGAAGAAGAUGGAGUCUCUGAAAGUUCUUCAGACAGAUGGAAUUGCAAUAGGUGAAUUGUCGCCAGAAAGAUGUUUGAGUUCUUUUCCAUGCUCUUUAGUAGAGUUAAGUCUGAAGGGGUGCAAUCUUUCUGAUGAUGUCUUUCUUACGGAUUUAAGUAAUCUAUCCUACUUGAGAAGACUACAUUUGGAUGAGAAUCCAAUUUGCAGUCUGCCAGUUUUCAUCAAAGGUUUGAGGAGGAUCGAUGAACUCUCUUUCAAGGGUUGUGAUAGGCUCGAAUCCCUUGUGGGGUUGCCGGAAGUACACCAAAGGAUGAGUAUAGUCGGAUGCAUAUCAUUAAAAAAAAUAACUUUUCAUUCCCCUAAGCAAUUGUAUCCAAUAUAUGUGGGUGACAACUGGAAUCUUGUUGAGUGGGGGUGCUAUUACAAAUUAGAGCCUAUUGAUAGAGUUGAUGUGGAAAUGAUCAAACUUUUGGGCUUGUGCAACUUGGAAUCCAUGCCAGCUGUUCAAAUGCAUUAUCCAGACUCAGACAGCGAUCCAAAAGAGGUCCCCGUCCAGGUGCGCCUUUCUUUCUCUCUCUCAUAAGUCUUAAAUAUAUAAUGGGAAAGAAAUGACUGAGUAAUAUUGUGAUGACUGUGGCAAAUACAUAGGGACUCUAUGAAUGUGGUAUAUUCAGCACGUUUUUUGUUGAGAAUGAGGUCCCAGGCCGGUUCAGCUAUAAAAGUACCAAGUCCUCGAUAUCUUUUAUUGUCCCUUUACUACUUGCUAGUCACAGAAUUCGAGGCUUGAACAUCUUUGCUACCUAUGCAAAGGAAAAUUCAAAUAAUUAUUUUACUAGACCUGGCAUUGCUCCAAUAAUGAUCAAAGUGAGAAACAAGAGUAAGGGUCUGAAGUGGAUCUAUGGCCCAAUAUUCUAUGGUAUCCCAGGUGACGGAGAAGAUAUGAUAUGGUUGAGCCAUUGGAAGAUGGAGAAUAAAACAAUAUUACAAUGUGGAGAUGAAGUGGUGGUUUCGGUAAUAACCGGACCAUGUGACUUGUUUUGGGUAAAGGAGUUUGGUGUCGAGCUUGUGCCAGAGCACCAAGACAAGAUGAGUACCCAACACAACACCAAAUCAGAUCCUAAUUAUCCACUUGUUAUCGGUGGAGAUUUGGAGACGUGGAAGUGCAGACCGGGAAUAUACUUCCUUGGUGGUCGGACAAGUACAGAUACUGACGACAUUGAUAUCCUCACCAUGGACUCUGAUGAAGAAGACACAAGUAUGUUGUGUUGUUGUAUUGCAUUGAAUUAUACUCCAUCGAAACACUUCCAGGUGUGUCUGUAUUCAUUUCAAAAACGUUUCAAUAAAUUUUAUGUUAUUUAUAUGUUUUUCAGACGAAGAAGGGCAAGAGGAUGAAUCUGAUUACACAAUUGCAAAAACGAGGGCUGCUAGCAAUAACUGCAGUUUGAGAGGCUGGAAGGUGCACCUCACGGCUGUCGGCUUCUUUUUCGCGCUUGCUCUAGUAAGUUGGUCCUCCCACUCCCGAAAAAAGAAGCGACAGUCGUCCACAAGCCCACCAUGAGUUUGUAAUUUGACUUGAUAUGGAUAUAUCUUUGCAUUCCUUGCUCUCAAGAUGUUUUCUACCUUCAAAACUUCAGGUUCAGAGCUAAGCAUUCUUAACCGCUUGAGAUAUAAAUGCCCUUUGUAACUAGAUACCGAAGUUCAAAUGUGUUCAACUCCAUCAAAUAUAGCAUAAAAUACAUCCAGCAUUGAAUGCAUGUGUUUUGAACUACAAGAAAUCUUAUACAUUGGGUAGACCGUAUAGUGUAUCACAUUCAAAUGCAAUUAUUCAUGAAGAUGAAGUAUGAGAUGCCCUAAUUGUUUUACCAGAAGAUGCUGGAUCAAUUGUCUCAAAAAAUUAUUUCGGUAAUUGUUGGUAAAACUCAAAGUUAUCCAAAAGUUUGGGGUCAGCAUAAGCUUAUGCAUCAGCAUCAGAUUGUGUCUCCUAUCAGACUGAAGGAAUAAAAUUACUCAAUUUGUGCAAAUAAAAAUAAAAAUUUUAUAACACAUCAAAGAGAUAAUUAAAGGAGACCUCACAAGCUGUACAUCCAAGUGGCAAACAAAUCAAAAUUUUAAAUAAAGCUAAUGGCGCAUGAAGAGUAUUGAAACACUCAUAGCCCUCGCACACAGGUUGCAUGGUCUUUUCUUAUAACAAUAAAAGGAACAAAUUCAUCAAGUCACAUUUGGGCCAUUAAAAAAAGCUACAAAUUCAUCUUUCCAUGUCUUUAUCUCACAAACCCAUAAUGUGGCAAUCCUCCAUUAGAAAGGUAACGUACGUUUUGAAAAACGUGGCAAAUAUUGAAUGAGUAAUGACGCCUCUAAAAAUAAAAUUGAAUUAUUUGAAAGAAUCUCUCAUAAAAUAAAGUAGGGGUAAAGUACAAAAAAUUACUUCAAAUAUUAGUCUCAUGACAUUGUCAUACUUCAUCUUUUAAAAUUGACAAUAUCAUACCUCAUCUUUAGAAUUUGGUCAAUUUUAUACCAUCCUUUAGCCUGACCGUUAAUUUGUCAGUUAAAUACUGACGUGGCUUGAUCCAAACCCCACUUUCUAUUAAAAAAUUAAGAAAAUAUUAAAAACCCCACCCCCUAUCUCUCCUCCCUCAUCUUCUUCCCCUGCUCUGCCCAGAAACGAAACGAACAAAAAAAAAAAAAAAAAAAUCAAAACCCAAUUCGUCCCCACCCCACCCCACCCCCUCUAUCUCCUCCCCCAUCUUCUUCCCCUGCUGCCCAGAAACGAAACGAAAAAAAAAAAAAAAAACUAAAAAUCAAAACCCAGGUCGUCCCCACCCAAGACUUGGGCUCGCACACCCAUGGCUCGCCGGACCUGGGUUGGGUGUCCUCUGGGUGCCUCGGAGCUUCACGGAGACGAAAAGAGAAAGGGUUGACGCCAAUGAUGGUUUUGGUACCGUCGUCGGUGGGUGUGGGUGUGUAAAUGGGUGCGUGAGUGUAGAUCUGGGAGAGGGGUAUAGUCUGUGCGAGAGAGGGGGAGAAAGAGUGAGUGAGCUGAGAGAGAGGGAGAUGUUGGCAUGGGUGGGGAAGGGUGGGGGGUUGCACGGAGGGGGAACGGGAAGGGGUCGGGGUGGGGGGGGGGGAGAUGAGAAUGGGUUCUGGGAUGCAGAGAAGAGAGAAAGGCGAGAGAGAAGGGGAGAGAGAGAGAGGAGAGAGAGAGAGAUUUAAUAUAAAAAUAAAAAAGAGAGGAGAGAGAGAGAUUUAAUAUAUAUUUUUUUAAUUUUUGAAUAUUUAAUUAUUAAAAAUGUAUUUUAUUAUUUUUUAAUCCAAUUGGAUUGGAUUAGUGAGUGGAACACGUGUCGGGCCACGUCAGUAUUUAACAGAAAAAUUAACAGAAAAACUGACGGAGGUGCGACAUUGACACAAAUUCCUAAGAUAAGGUAUGACAUUGUCAAUUUUAAAAGAUGAGGUAUGAAAGUGUCGUGACACCAAUAGUUGAGGUAGUUUUUUUAUACUUUACCCAAUAAAGUAACGAAUAAUCAACAAAAGUAGCAGUACACCAAGUUGAACCUUUUUCAACGUUGAAAUGAAAUAUGAAAGGAGAUCAAGUUGAUAUUAGUCGUCACUUGUAUUUUAUUUUUUUGAAUAAACGAUAUUGUCUACAUUGAGGAGAAUGAGUUCGUUAAGCCUUACAAUGGGCUAGUAAUAAUAUAGUUCAAAUUCGUAUUUGGCGAGAAUCAAAUCUAAAGUUUCUCACUUACAAAUGAAGAGAAAUAUCAUUGGACUAUAACAUUAUUCAUCUACUUAAAAAUAAUGAAUAAUCAAGAAAAACAUUGCACGGUCCCCCUCUCGUCACUUACCACUAGUGGCCAUCACUUCCUUGAGCAAAAGAGAUCUUUCGAAUUGCUUGACCAAAAUAAGAAUUGACUUGGCUGUCCGUCCAUCAAUAACAGGUCCACAUCUCAACCCAAAUAUAAUGACGUCAAAUGAGAAGGAAACUCUGGGGGGUACAGGGAAGGAAAAUGAGAAAAAGGGAAAAGUUGAAGGGGAAGGAGGAAAAUGACAGGAAAUUUCGGAGAAUAGAAAAAAGGAGAAGGGAUAAGAAGGAAAAAUGGGAAGGAAGCUUAGGAGGGUAGAGAAAAAGAGGGAAAUGCAUAAAAAUAAAAAAUAAAAAAGGAAAGUCGCCUUCAUCAUUAUGCCUACUAACGGAAAGGAGCAACCGCAUUGUAAAUUAUAUUUCGUAUAAUGAGAAACCAGUAUUCCUACCCCGAGGAUAUAGACACAACUUGCCGAAUCUCGUUACUAUACAGCAAACAUAUAACUGCACAACAAUUCGAUCAACCACCUUAAGCUCAAUCAUAAAUGUACCAAGAUUCAAGUUUUUCCAAACUUUCCUUAUGAAAUUAACUGAACAUUACAAGUGCCAUAUUAUUAUGCGGUUCUAUCAAGUUUUAAUUUUUGUCUCAUAACCACAUCAUCUUUAGGACAAUCAAUAUUGCAGUUGAAUAUAUAAACCUUCGAUAUGGUGAUAUUGGAAACACUAGUUGGUGGGUUAAUUGGUAGAAAUUGUUCCAACAAUUCAAGGACGAGAAAUGAGUAUUGAGCAACGAUCAAAAUGUGUUGUAUUUUAUCACAAAAGAUGUUUGUGCAAUUAGAAGUACACUAGAAAGUUUGCCCGAUCGUUGCUGCGGGAAUGUCAAAUAUAUUGUAAGUAUUGUAUAUAAAUGUUACAUAAGGGAACAAAUAUGUUGCAAGAAUUGUGUGUAGAAUUUAUAAAACACGUACCAAGUAUUUGCAUAAAAUUUAAAAUAUAUAGUUGUUACUUGUUCAAAUUAUAACAGCUUGUACAAACAUGAGUUUGAAAUUCACCUGCCUUAACUUCUCCACACUUUACACACAGAGACCCUUAUCUUUUUUGGUGGUUUAAAAGCUUGCAAAUCACGGGAGGCUGUCCAUUUUGUUACAAAGAUGCAGAACCAAAAUAUAUAUUUUAUCAAUUUUCGAGAGCAUAAAUGGACAAAUUAAAUUGUAUGUAAAGAAUGUGUAGCAAAAUAUCAAAUAGCAAAAGAAAUCUCAACAUAACUCUACCACAACAAUAAGGAAUCUCAAAUAGAAAAAAGGGAGACUUUGGAUGCGGUCCCUAGUUAUGAAUAGUCUUUGACUGAAACCUUGUUGGUUUUCAAUUUUUGAUCCAAGUCCCUGAAAUUAAUUGAUAAUUUAUUUCUAUGUACGUUACUAUAUUUUUUAAAUUAAAAAUUAAAAUUUAUAGUUGUUUAUAGUAAUGAGAUUUUAAAUAAAAAACCAUAAUUUGUGGGAUUAAAAAUAUUAAAAUAUAAAUAUACUAUUGUGUGUGUGUGUGUAAACAUGGGUACAUUCAUAAAAAAUAACCAAAAAAUUAUUGUAUCAAAACAUGGAUACAUUCUUCUUCAAAAUGGGUACAUUUAGCAAAAAUAAAAAUGGGUACAAAUAAAUAAAAAAAAUAUGGGUACAAUACAAAUAAAACUUUAAAAAAUAUGGGCACAAAAAGAAAUUAAUAUAUGGGUACAAAUUAAAACUGAAAGGAAAAUUGGUACAAAUUAAAAAAGGGUUGCAAAUUAAAAAUGGGUACAAACUAAAAAUAAAAAUAUAUGAUAAAAAAUUUAGCCAUAAAUAUAAAUAUACUAAUUGUAAUAUUUUUAAUAUUAAAUGAAUAUAUUUAGAAAUAAAAAAUAUUUUAUUAUUGAAAUAAUUAAUGAUAUUAUUAAUACAAAGGAUCUUGAUCAAAAAUUGAAAAGUAAUAAGGUUUUAAUCAAUAGAGUAGUAAAAAUAAGGAUGAAAACCUAAUUACUCCUAGAAAAAAUCUACCAACUACCAUACGGAUGAUUUUUAAAUGAAUAAAAGCCUACCCUAUUAUGGAGAGCUUAUACCUUUCACUUGUUUACUGUUCUUGAUGAGUUGCAAAACACAACCAACAAAAGAAAAUCAAACAAACAUCAAAACAAAGGUCAUGCCUGAUAAGAAGGUUUCAUUUAUAAUUAUUUCUAUUUCUACAUAAAUACUAAUAAAUUAAGCUCCCAAUGAUCUGCAUAAACAUUUGCAAGGCCUUCUUUUCCAUCGAUGGAAAUGACUGAAACAGAUUCAACCCAUGUCUUAAUUACAUCAGUUAUGUGUUGAACCACCUAAAUCGACUCAAAUCACUGAAGAAAGGCAAUCAUCAGCGUUCAAGCAAGUGAAGCAAAAAAGAAAAGGUAGGACACAUGAACAUUGUGAUUUUGUACCAUCACCUGGACAGUCUUGCCAACGUAAGGGCAGAGGACAGAAAUGAAUGAACUCAAUUCCAAUACGCUAACCGUUAAAGGUAUAUACGUCAUGACAGUCUUAUGAAUAACCAAAUUAUCUGAAGUUCAAGAUAUUGGAUAGCUACAUACAGAUUUGGAGACAAAACCAACAAAUCCAGGCCAGUAUAGCUUGCGGUGAAUAAUGUUAUCAAUGUUCCAGCAGUGUCACCAAUCUUAAAAACUCCAGCUUGAAUUCCUCCAACAGUAGCUGGGCCAAUGACAACCUGCAAAAGAUACGAUAAUUAAAGUUAAUAUCGCCAGUUCAUUUUCCCAGGUUAGUGAAAUUAAGAUGACUUUGCAUCAAUCGUGUAACCUUGUUGUUUGCCCAUGCAUAUGCGAUCAAUUGCUUAGUGUCUGACUCAGGUACACCUUCAGCAAUGACCGCCACAACUCUAAUGGUUGGUUGCUUGAGAGCAGCCAUGGAAGAAGCGGCAGCACUGCAGAUAUAUCAACAUACAUUCAUCGUUAGGUACAACCAUAGAAGUUUCGCACUCCAAAACACUACUCAUAGAAUAAUCACUGACCUUCUGUACGAAGCAAAGUUGAUUAAGACAUCAGCAGUAGGCUGUGCAGUGCGUGAUGCUUCAAUGUUGCAAUAGUUAUCAACCCAAAGGUCAGACAAUCUCGAAACAACAGAUCAAGAAUGGUAAUCUGACUAAUAACAUGAUUUGAAUAUAUUAGAUAUGGAAAAUUAAGAUUAACCAAGCAUACAUGCAUAUACAUAAUUAUACAAAAGGUGGCUUGCGGCAACGAAAGACGAAAUCUAGGAAGAGGAUGAGAGAAUGGCAACUUACUUUUAAGUGCAUUGGUAUGGCGAUUUCCUUUUGACCGAAAAAUAGCUUCUGAAAUCCCUCAGAACCAGGGUUAAUGAUUCCACCAACUGACGGUGUCUCCCUCCGUAUUACAAACCUCAGUUAUUACAUUUACAUCUUUUUCAAAAACUAAAAACUAUAAGUAAGAUCAAGUUCGAAGUAGGAAAUGAUACACACCGCAAAGGACGUCAAAAUCGAGUUAGAAGCACCUGAUAUAUCUUGCCAGUGGUAAUGUUGUUAUCCCUAGGUCCAAAUCAAUCUACAAUUACAAUUAAAGUUUAAACAAACUCAGCAGCAUAAAGUUUAAAGAUAAGACUCACACUCAACAUGAUACCAAGAUAGAAUCCAAAAAUAAAUUAAAGAUAUGACUAAAAUUAUUUGUUCUAAUCGAACAUAUUUCCUAGUUUUCUUAUCCAAUUAUACAAUUGCAGUUCCUAAAACAAAAAAUAAUUAAAAAGUAAUUUGCAGAAAGAAAAUUAGAAAAUUCGAACUUGACAACAAUCUACCUUAAGAAACCCCAUGACCGAGUAACAGCAACAACAACAUUGAGACAUAAUUUGGUGAAUAUAUAUGGUGGACAAAUUUAACAACUCUAGUACUGUUAACAAAGCUUCAACCAACAACAACAACAACAACAACAACAAAGCCUUUUCCCACUAAGUGGGGUCGGCUAUAUGAAUCCUAGAACGCCAUUGCGCUCGGUUUGUGUCAUGUCCUCCGUUAGAUCCAAGUACUCGAAGUCUUUUCUUAGAGUCUCUUCCAAAGUUUUCCUAGGUCUUCCUCUACCCCUUCGGCCCUGAACCUCUGUCCCGUAGUCACAUCUUCAACCAAUACAACAUAAAUCAAAUCAAUAUAUACCUGCAUAUCCUGAGUCCGAAUUGUACCCUCGUGCCCUGCAAUGCCUUGGUGAGCGACUCCUGCUUAAAAUCCAAACACACAUUUAACUUUAACAACACACAAAAAAUCAAAACUCUCAUCAUUAGAAAACCAAAAGGAAAACUUGAAAUUAUAUACCUGAAGCACAAAUGGUUUGCAAACGCAUAUACAAAAUUUUCAAAAAACAAAGAUCACCGUUUCCUGAAAAUGAAAAGAAAAGCAAAUCAUAGAGCCAAACCGAGAAUCCGAACACAGAAAUAAAAUCCCCAAAGUUAUGAAAACAAAAUUUAAAUGCAACACACAUCUGCAAACGGAAGACCACCCCAAAAAAAAUUAAAUUUUGUUCGACAAAAAGCCCAAAAGAAAAGGUAGAUUUUAUAUACACACCUUGAACACAAAGGGCUUGCAAAGUUGCAUUGAGAGCCCCAAAAUUGGGACAUGAGCGUUUCCUGAAACCAAAUAAGCGCACAUAUCAAACCCCCAAAAUGAAAAAAUAGAAAAUUUAAAGACAAAAUCCAUCUGCAAAUCGAAAACCACCGAAAAAAAUUAAAUCAGAUACACUGGAAAAAACGCAAAACUCACUGGAACAACACUGGCGUGGAAGAGAAAAAAAACUAGGUUCGAAAAUAAGCAGAAGGUGAGAAUGGAGAAAGAGAGAAGCCAGCGGAAAGAAAAAGCUAAGAGCACUAUUCGAUCCGCCAUAUUAAACAGUAACUGCCUUAAAUGAACUUAAAUGAAUAGUAAUUACCAUUAAUGAACGGUAAUUGUCAUUUACAUCUCCACCGUUGGAACCAUCUCCCUAGCAAUAAGCAAUUAAAAUAAUAAUUUUUUUUGUUUGUUUAAAUAAUAAAAAAAAACCCCUCCCUCUCUCUCUAUAACACAAAAAAAAUAAAAAAUUGCAAAGCCCUCGGGCCACAGGCCCGUCGACUCCCUACCCCCCUUCGCUCGGGUUCCCACCAUCGCUCGGCCUCCACACGGCUGGACCUCUCUCCAUCGGGCCUCCGGCCCCUUCUUCUCCACUGUCCCCCGAUGGGUGGAGUUGCUCUAAGAAGAGGUUGGAAACGGAAUAAUAGAAAAGCAUAAAUGAGUACGAAAACACGAAUCUUUGUGUUUUUACGGGAGUAGUAGAAAAUAUUAUUUUUUAAGUUAUAAACUUUAUAAUACACAUAUCUUAUUAUGUAUAUAGUUACACGUGGUGUAAUAUUCCGUGUAACGAUCAUACUGAAAAAUCUCUUGUUAAAUUUAGGGAUGUGAUAUCUACACAUCUUAUUUUACUUCUCACACACCUUUGUAAUUUUCGGCCGUCGGAUCGGAUGAAUUGAAAAAGAUCAGCAAACAAAAAAUAUUAAGGGUGUGUGAGAAGUAAAAUAGGGUGCAUCGAUAGCACAUUUCUAAAUAUUUACAUAGCGACACGUGGUGUACCAUCCCGUGUGACGAUCACACUGAAAAAUCUCUUGUUAAAUUUAGGGGUGUGAUAUCCACACACCCCAUUUUACUUCUCAUACACCUUCUUAAUUUUCGACCAUCAGAUCGGAUGAAUUAAAAAAUAUCAACUAACAAAAAUUAUUAAAGAUGUGAUAAGUAAAAUAGAGUGCGGAUACCUAAAUUUAACAAGAGAUCACAUUUUUCAAUAUUUUUUUGGUCUUCCCACCGUCUACACAUGGGUUUAAAAAAUUAAAAAAGUAUAAAAUUUUUAUUUUUUGUUGUGCCACAAACCAUGUGGCCAGGUUUUAAUCAUUUUUUAAUAAUUUUUUUGUCCUCCCACCAGUUACACAUGGGUUUAAAAAAAGGAUUUGGAUUGUCUGCCCUCCUAGUUGUGAUGCCCUUCUAUUUUGUGCGGUCACGGUUAAAUCAAGUCAAUAUUUUAUAUUUUAAUUAUUUUUUGUCUUAUUAUCUCAUUAAAAAAUUAAUAUAAAAUAUUAACGUAGCUUAACCGUGACCGCACAAAAUAGGAGCGCAUAGAAGGGCACCACAACUAGAAGGGCAGACAAUCCAAGUCCUUAAAAAAAUUUAAGAAUGUAUAAAGUUUUUUGUUUGUUGUGUCACAAACCACGUGGACCGGUUUUAACCACAUUUGUUUAAUAUUUGUUUGUCUGCCCACCGGCUAUAUGUGACUUAAAGAAAUGUUUUUUGGGUCAAUGGAUGGGAACGACCCAUUUUAUAAUUGUUUGUAAAUUUUUCUGGAAGUAGAUGGAAAGGACCCAAUUACAUAUUUCCCCUGCUCACAGACAUUUGCAUUGCACCUAGCAAACACCAGUUUUUUGUUUGAACAUCGAUCCCCUCAUCAAUGGCUCUUGUGAGAACAUAUCCAAGAAUCUCCUCUAAUUCCAACACUUUUCGGAGUUAUCGCUACGACGUGUUCUUGAGCUUCAGAGGCGAAGAAACUCGCAAGACUUUUACCGACCACCUCUACACAGCUUUGAACAACGCAGGAUUUCUUACGUUCCGAGACGACGAUGAACUUGAGAGAGGAGAAGAUAUAAAGCCAGGACUGCAGAAAGCGAUCCAGCAGUCACGAACUUCUAUUGUCGUGUUUUCGAAAGAUUACGCGUCAUCCAGGUGGUGUCUUGAUGAGCUUGUGCUGAUCCUUGAACGCAAGAGGACCACCUCGGACCAUGUAAUUUUACCAGUCUUCUACGAUGUCGAUCCAUCCCACGUGAGGAAGCAGACAGGAAGUGUUGGAAAAGCAUUUGCUAGAAGCCAGAAACAUCAGUCGCUGGAAAAGGUGGAGGGAUGGAGGACGGCACUUGCAGAGAUUGCAGACCUAGCAGGCAUGGUCUUACAAAAUCAAGCAUAUGGGUAACUUUCAUUAUCUCCAUUUCUCUUCUCUUUCUUGGGUCAAUUUGAUGUAUGAUCCGUAGUGACAUAGAUUUUUAUAUAUUUAUUAAUUCAAUCUCAGUAGUGAAUAAUAAUUCCAAUUUAGGUCAACUUAAAGAAAUCACACUCAACUCAACUUAAGGAUUAGUCAUUUUCCAUGUUAUCUACUGGUUUCCAGUUGCUUAAUUUUUUUUGAAAGCUGGUGUGGAAAAAAGUUAGGAUGUGAUCUGUGAUGUAUUUGUCUAUAGUUCGUAUAAAUUAUGCGUUGUAUUCCUUUUUUUUUUCAAAUUAAUUUUGUCAGCAGUCCUAUUUUUUUUCUUAUUUAAACAAAGGCAAUCAACAUAUGUUUUAAUUAUCUAAUUUCCCCAAUUCAUUUUUCAUUUUUCAUUUUGUUUGCAAAUUCUUAGGUACGAGUCAAAGUUUAUCAAAAAAAUUGUUAAAGUGAUAGGAGACAAGUUAAGUCGCACACCAUUGAGUGUUGAACCAAAAUUGAUCGGAAUUCAAUCUCAAGCCGAACGCAUCAAUUUAUGGUUACAAGAUGGAUCAAGUGAUGUUGGUAUAUUUGUUGUGUAUGGCAUGUCUGGAAUAGGGAAGACAACCAUUGCAAAACAUGUUUACAAUUCAAACUUUAGAAGCUUUGAAGGAAGUAGUUUCAUUGAAAAUAUCAAAGAAACAGCAGAUCGACCAAAUGGCUUAGUUCAAAUACAAAUGCAACUUCUUUGUGAUAUUUUGAACGGCAAAGAAGUGAAAAUACACUGUGUUAGUCAGGGAAUAAUUAAGAUUGAAAGGGCCGUAAGCUCUAGAAGAGUUCUACUUGUUCUUGAUGAUGUCGACCAAAUGGACCAAUUGGAUGCAAUCCUAAGGAUGAAAGAUCAGUUUUAUCCAGGAAGUAAGAUACUAAUAACAACUAGGCGUGAAAGGUUGCUAAAGGCAGAUCAAGUUACAGAGGUGCACAAUGUUCAAACUUUGGAUUACAAUGAAUCAUUAAAGCUUUUUAGUUGGCAUGCUUUUGGCCAGGACCAUCCCAUAGAAGAAUACACGGAGCACUCAAAACAGUUAGUGCAACAUAGCGGCGGACUUCCAUUAGCUCUAAAAGUUUUGGGUUCUUCUUUAUCAGGGGAAAGUAUAGGUGUAUGGGAAAGUGCAUUGGAGAAGCUAAAAGUUAUUCCUGAUGGUGAAAUCAUGAAUAAACUAAGAAUAAGCUAUGAAAGUUUAAAAGAUGACCAUGAUCGGAAAUUAUUCCUCCACAUUGCUUGUUUCCUAAUAGGAAGGAACAAAAGCUACAUUGUUAGAAUAUUGGAUGGAUGUGAUUUCUAUACAAUCAUUGGCAUUCAAAAUCUCAUUGAUAGAUGCUUGGUGACACUUGAUGAACACGACAAGGUGAAAAUGCAUGACAUGAUUCGUGCUAUGGGAAGAGAAAUUGUUCGUCAAGAAUCAGAAGAGCCUGAGAAACGUAGUAGAUUAUGGCGCGAUAAGGAUUCUUUCCAAGUAUUGAAGAAAAAGAAUGUAAGAAACAUGCCUUUUAUGUCUAUAUUUGUAUUUCAUCUUGUGAAAAUUAUGCAUAUUAAUGUCUCUUUUUUUUUCCUUUAGGGUACAAAAAAAAUCCAAGGUCUUGUCCUGGAUAUGCGUAACCAUCCUGCAAACAAUCCAAUAAACACAAAUGAGAUAGUCUUGGAAACCAAUGCAUUUGCAAGGAUGUCCAAUUUACAACUACUCCAUCUUAGUCAUGUACGACUGGAUGGAUGUUAUGCAGAUUUCCCUACAGGAUUAAGAUGGUUGUGUUGGCUUGAAUUUCCUUUGGAUUCUAUGCCAAUUGAUUUUCCUUUGGAGAACGUAAUUGUUCUUGAAAUGCAAUACAGUAGCUUGAGACAAGUAUGCAAAGGAACAAAAGUAUGUUACUCCAUGCAUUUCAAUUCAUUUUCCUUAUUUUGUUAGUUUUCUAUUUGUUGACUAACUCCAUGUGUUAAAAUGAACUACUAUGUUUUCUUUAAUUCGAUGACUAAUUUCUUAUAUUAGAUACUUAUUUCAUUGUUCUUUUUUCUUUUUUUAUUUUUUUUCUUCCUCUGUUUCCACAGUUUCUUCCAUCGUUGAAGAUCCUUGACGUCAGCCAUUCUCAUGGCCUUAGUGAAACCAUUGACUUCUCACUUUUCCCCAAUCUAGAGGAACUGAUUCUUGUAGAUUGCACAAGCCUAAAGAAUGUUCACGAAUCCAUUGGAAACAUGGAGAGACUUGUGUACUUGAAUAUGAAGGAUUGCAAGAAUCUUAGUAAGCUUCCGAAGAACAUGUGCAUGCUUAAAUCACUUGAAACACUCAUUUUAUCAAGUUGCUCAAAUCUUGAUGAGUUUCCACAGUUUCUUCCAUCGUUGAAGAUCCUUGACGUCAGCCAUUCUCAUGUUCUUAAUGAAAACAUUGACUUCUCACUUUUCCCCAAUCUAGAGGAACUGAUUCUUAUAGAUUGCACAAGCCUGAAGAAUGUUCAUGAAUCCAUUGGAAACCUGGAGAGACUCGUGUACUUGAAUAUGAAGGAUUGCAAGAAUCUUAGGAUGCUUCCGAAGAACAUAUGCAUGCUUAAAUCACUUGAAACACUCAUUUUAUCUGGUUGCUCAAAUCUUGAUGAGUUUCCAGUGGAGAUGAUGAAGAAGAUGGAGUCUCUGAAAGUUCUCGAGACAGAUGGAAUUCCAAUAAGUGAAUUGGGGCCAGAAAGAAGUUCAACUAUCUUGAGUUCUUUUCCAUGCUCUUUGGUAGAGUUAAGUCUGAAGGGGUGCAAUCUUUCUGAUGAUGUUAUUCCUCCAGAUUUAAGUAAUCUAUCCCACUUGCGAAGACUACAUUUAGAUAAUAAUCCAAUUUGCAGUCUGCCAGGUUUCAUCAAAGGUUUGAGGAGGAUCGAUGAACUCUCUUUUUGGUGUUGUGAUAGGCUCGAAUCGCUUGUGGGGUUGCCAGAAGUACACAAAUGGAUAAGUAUAAUCGGAUGCAUAUCAUUAAAAAAAAUAACUUUUCAUUCCCCUGAGAGAUUGUGUCCAAUACAUUUGGGUUACAACAGGAAUCUUGUUGAGUGGGAAUGCAAUUACAAAAUAGAGCCUAUUGAUAGAGUUGAUGUGGAAAUGAUCAAACUUUUGGGCUUGUGCAACUUGGAAUCCAUGCCAGCUGUUCGAAUGCGUUAUCCACACUCACACAGGGAUCCAAAAGAGGUCCCCGUCCAGGUGCGCCUCUCUUUCUCUCUCUCAUAAGUCUUAAAUAUAUAAUGGGAAAGAAAUGACUGAGUAAUGUUGUGAUGGCUGUGGUAACUACAUAGGGACUGUAUCAACGUGGUAUAUUCAGCACGUUUUUUGUUGGGAAUGAGGUUCCAGGCCGGUUCAGCUAUAUAAGUACCAAGUCCUCGAUAACUUUUAUUGUCCCUUUACUACUUGCUAGUCAUAGAAUUCGAGGCUUGAACAUAUUUGCUACCUAUGCAAAGGAAAAUUCAAAUAAUUAUUCUACUAGACCUAGUAUUGGUCCAAUAAUGAUCAAAGUGAGAAACAAGAGUAAGGGUCAGAAGUGGAUCUAUGCCCCAGAGUUCUAUGGAAUUCCAGGUGAUGGAGAAAAUAUGAUAUGGUUAAGCCAUUGGAAGAUGGAGAAUAAAACAAUAUUACAAUGUGGAGAUGAAGUGGUGGUUUCUGUAAUAACUGGACCACGUGACUUGUUUUGGGUAAAGGAGUUUGGUGUCGAGCUUGUGCAAGAGCACCAAGACAAGAUAAGUACCCAACACAACACCAAAUCAGAUCCUAAUUAUCCACUUGUUAUCGGUGGAGAUUUAAAGACGUGGAAGUGCAGACCGGGGAUAUACUUCCUUGGUCGUUGGACAAGAGAAGAUACUGACGACAUUGAUAUCCUCACGAUGGACUCUGAUGAAGAAGACACAAGUAUGUUGUGUUGUUGUAUUGCAUUGAAUUAUACUCCAUCCAAACACUUCCAUGUGUGUCUGUAUUCAUUUCAAAAACAUUUCCAAUAAAUUUUAUGUUAUUUGUAUGUUUUACAGACAAAGAAGGGCAAGAAGAUGAACCUGAUUACACAAUUGCAAAGAUGAGGACUGCUAGCAAUAACUGCAGCCUAAGAGGUUGGAAGGUGCGCCUCACAGCUGUCGGCUUCUUUUUCACGCUUGCUCUAGUAGGUUGGUCCUCCAUCUCCCAAAAAAAGAAGCGACACUCGUCCACAAGCCCACCAGGAAUUUGUAAUUUGACUUGAUAUAGAUAUAUCUUUGCAUUCCUUGCUCUCAAGAUGUUUUCUACCUUCAAAAUUUCAGGUUCAGAGGUAAGCGCUUUAACCGCUUGAGAUAUAAAAGCCCAUUGCAACUAGAUACUGAAGUUCAAAUGUGUUCAACGCCAUCAAAUAUAGCAUAAAAUACAUCCAGCAUUAGCGAUACUAGCAGAUUAGCUGUAAAUAAGUAAAACAAAAAAAUGCUUCUACACAUGGUAAGGGAAGGACUUUGACUGACAUAGGUAUCUUUAGCAAUAACGGGCAAGAUUUUUUUUUGUUGGGAGGGGUGGGGAUUAUUUCGACACCGGGGAAAACAAAAACAUCCUAUCUGCUUAUAAAUGACAAAGUUACAAAUCUUAAUUGUCGUUUACAACAAAAUCAUUCUUAAAGACUCGGCUCCCCAUUGAAAUUGUGUAAAUUGCAUAAAUAUCAAUACAACAGAUAUUAGAUAGAAUAAUAUAUAUCAAAUAAAUUAACGACAGGCAAUUUCUUAGCCUGAGAUUCAAGGACUUCACAGCUGGUUCAGCCUUGCAUCGCUACUACGCUACUCCAGUCAACUGAUUUAAAAGAGUACCCUGUUUCUCAGCGCAACAUGCACAAAAUCAACACCGGGUAGAAACUAAAAACCACCACCAAAUAAAAGUGAAUUCGACAACGUCAACGUAUUUACUUACCAAAGAUACUACAGGGACAGGUACCGAACGGCGGUGAUUACGAUACUGCUUUCUAUGCUUUCGGACAGAUUCUAACUCCUUGAGAACUCGAUCUAGUAUUACAGGCAUUUUUACAGGCAAAUCAAUUUCAAGGAAGUAUAGGAGGAACCCAUAAUCUUCUCAUGAACAUUGUACCUGCAAAAGCAUAAUGCAAUAAGCAUUCAACAAUCUGACCUAGUUUGCUCAACAGAUGCUCUAAGAUAUUCCAAAACAAAGUCACAGCAAUUUCACAUAGGAUACCAGGUGGGGAGGAUACAAUCAUUAACAAUUUCAAAAGCUUUAAAUGCAAAAAAUCAGUGAACAUAAUCAAAUCCAAUACGUCAAUUUUGGCCUAGAUUGAAAUGAAAAAAAACAAGGAAAUGCUUUGUGUAUCGAUUUGUUUAUGAAGGAAAUAAAACAUAUUUCAUGGAAAUAAAACCUGUGGUUACUUUUGUCUUCCUCUGCCAUUUGUCUAUCGAUUUGUUUCUGAAAGUGGCUAUUCUACAACAUACAGCAUGACAGGUCUUAGUUAGACCAAGUAACCGGCAUGGAAAUGCUUUCUGAAGCAAGAAUAUGAACUCAAGAGCUUUGUGCCAGAGAGACUUCAGAAAAAUGAAAAAAACAACAUAGAAUAUACAACAACAACAACAACAACAAAGCCUUUUCCCACUAAGUGGGGUCGGCUAUAUGAAUCCUAGAACGCCAUUGCGCUCGGUUUUUGUGUCAUGUCCUCCGUUAGAUCCAAGUACUCAAGUCUUUUCUUAGGGUCUCUUCCAAAUUUUUCCUAGGUCUUCCUCUACCCCUUCGGCCCUGAACCUCUGUCCCGUAGUCAUUUUCGAACCGGAGCGUCAGUAGGCCUUCUUUGCACAUGUCCAAACCACCGGAACCGAUUUUCUCUCAUAUUUCCUUCAAUUUUGACUACUCCUACUUUACCUCGAAUAUCCUCAUUCCCAAUCUUAUCCUUUAUCGUGUGCCCAUACAUCCCACGAAGCAUCCUCAUCUCCGCUACACCCAUUUUGUGUACGUGUUGAUGCCUCACCGCCCAACAUUCUGUGCCAUACAACAUCACUGGCCUUAUUGUCGUCCUAUAAAAUUUUCCCUUGAGCUUCAAUGGCCUACGACGGUCACACAACACGCCGGAUGCACUCUUACACUUCAUCCAUCCAGCUUGUAUUCUAUGGUUGAGAUCUCCAUCUAAUUCUCUGUUCUCUUGCAAGAUAGAUCCUAGGUAGCGAAAACGGUCACUUUUUGUGAUCUUCGCUAGAUUGCUCCGGUCAUUAGUGUGGAUAAGUAUAUAAAUGGAUAGAAUUAGGAAAGCAAACACAAGAUGUACGUGGUUCACCCAAAUUGGCUACGUCCACGGAAUAGAGGAGUUCUCAUUAAUUGUGAAUGGUUUACACAAGUACAUAGGUUCAAGCUCUCCUUUAGUGAGUACAAGUGAAUGAUUUAGUACAAAUGACAUUAGGAAAUAUUGUGGGAGAAUGAUCUCGUAACCACGAAACUUCUAAGUACCGGAGUGUGGUAUCGUCUUGACUUGCCUUAUCUGUCUCAUAGGUAGAUGUGGCAUCUUCUCUGGAAGUACUCUUCCUCCAUCCAGGGGUGGUAUCUGUAACUGGUGGAGAUGCACAAGGUAAUGUAUCAAUUUCACUUGAAGCUUACUUGUAGUUUCAGGCUUGGUCAAGCGCGAUACAAACCAUGUAGUAGGAGUCCCCCAAGUCGCCGGGUUAGGGGAUCUGCUGAAAGAGGUGACAGACAAGGUAAGCAAUCAGAGCUCCAGCUGAUUGUUCAUAUUCUCCCUAUCUUGCAGGCAGCAUGAAGGAUAAAGAGAAGAAAAAUGAGAAGAGAUGAUAUGGGAUACUUUUGCUUUUGAAGAAGUAACUUUCCACAGGCUUAUUCUUGAACCGGGCUGCAGGGUUUUCUGGUUUCCUCCAGAGUAUAAGGCCGACUGAAGAAUUUGAGGGUGAAAACAAGUUCAUCAAAUCUAGAGUACGUUCGACCCUGCUGAUAUGGGAUACUUUUGCUUUUGACAGAGUAGUGGAUGUAUCGGCACGUGUGCUGUUACGCUUGUCUCCACAUGCUUCAUUGUAUCCUUCUCACUUGCCCUAUCUGUUCCUCAGGCAGAUCCGGUAUCUUCCCUGGAAGCAUAAGAUGUUGAAGAUGAGUACUCGAGAGCAAUGCCAGGUAAGUAAUCAGGUAAGGGGUUCCAGGCAGUCAGUUCCUGGCUGGAAGCUUGAUUCCAAGUGCUGACUGAUUGCUCUCGUUCUCCUUGUCUUGCAGGUAAGAACAAGGCCAAAGGAAAAGACAGGGAAAAAGCAUGAUAUGGGAUACUCUUACUUUUAACCCUAAUGAUAAGAACAAGGCCAAAGGAAAAGACAGGGAAAAAGCAUGAUAUGGGAUACUCUUACUUUUAACCCUGAUGAUAUGAGAUAUUCUUGCUCUAGUAUAGCUUGUUUACAGAGGUAUUAUCGAGGGGAAAUAAAGCUGAAUAUUUCGAAAGGCUUCGUUGGGAGUGCCCUCUCAGAUAAGAGAAAGGGUUGAGCAUUUUUGCAAGUCUGCCUGUCCGUUAGGGAUGGAGGUCGACAUAUAUAGGAGUCUCCCUAACAUCAAGUAAUAAUGUUAUUCCUUUACCCUGCUUGGUCAUAACACGGUAGUGGGAGCUGCCAGCUUCACAUGUUUUAACUAUGUCAGAGCACUUUGAAAAAGUGGUCUGUGGUAUCUAGAAAGCUGAUGUUGCGUGUGAAGAUUACAGACAAGCUUUAUCCAAGGAGAUCCAGCUUUUGAAGUUGGGAAAGUGGUGCCUCUUCGGUUUUCGAACAAGCAAUCCUGUCGGGGAUCUGGCUCUCGAGAUUCGGAGAACGAUGCCUCUUCGAUUUUUGAGAAAGCGAUCCUGCUGGGGGUCUGGCUCUCGAGAUUCAGAGAGCGGUGUCUCUUCGAUUUUUGAGAAAGUAAUCAUGUUGGGAGUCUGGCUCUCGAGAUUCGGAGGGCGGUGCCUCUUCGAUUUUGGAGCAAGCAAUCUUGUUAGGAGUGUUUUCUCGAAUGUGAGUAAAGGUUGGGCAUGUUUGCUAGUCUACCUUGCCACGAAGCACAGAGGUUGACACACAGGGACUUUCCAAUUAUCCAGCAGUGGUACUGUUCCUUUACCCUCUCUUCGAUUUUUGAGAAAGUAAUCAUGUUGGGAGUCUGGCUCUCGAGAUUCGGAGGGCGGUGCCUCUUCGAUUUUGGAGCAAGCAAUCUUGUUGGGAGUGUUUUCUCGAAUGUGAGUAAAGGUUGGGCAUGUUUGCUAGUCUACCUUGCCACGAAGCACAAAGGUUGACACACAUGGACUUUCCAAUUAUCCAGCAGUGGUACUGUUCCUUUACCCUCUCUUCGAUUUUUGAGAAAGUAAUCAUGUUGGGAGUCUGGCUCUCGAGAUUCGGAGGGCGGUGCCUCUUCGAUUUUGGAGCAAGCAAUCCUGUUGGAAGUGUUUUCUUGAAUGUGAGUAAAGGUUGGCAUGUUUGCUAGACUACCUUGCCACGAAGCACAGAGGUUGACACACCGGGACUUUCCAAUUAUCCAGCAGUGGUACUGUUCCUUUACCCUUGUGGGUAAUAAUAUGGUAGCUAGACCUUCAAAAUUUGUGUCUAAACUUUGUUAGUGUUGUUUCUUUGUAAUUCUUUUACCCUUCUUGGUCAGAGCGAUGUAGCGGGAGCUGCAAGCUUCACGUGUCUCAACUUUGUCAGAGAACUUUGGCAAAGUUAUCUGUGGUACCCAUGAGUUACUGUUGCGUAUGGGAAGUGGGUGAUUGAACAGUACAAUUCAUGUGCUUUCUACUUCGCCAGAAAUCUUCGACAGAAUGCCCAUAAUUUCCGCAAAGCUGAGUGUGCGUGUGACAGGUGCUGACAAGGCUGGAAAAGUAUGUGCCUCUUCGAUUUCUAAGAUCGGCCUUCGUGGUCUCUUAGCAGCCCAGCUUUUGAGAAAGCAAGCCUCUUCGAUUUCUGAUAUCGGCCUUCGUGGUCUUUGAGCAGCCCAGCUUUUGAGAAAGCAAACGCCUCUUCGAUUUCUGAGAUCGACCCUCGUGGUCUCUGAGCAGCCCAGCUUUUGAGAAAGCAAACGCCUCUUUGAUUUCUGAGCAGGCGCCUCUUCGAUUUCUGAAGCUUCGUCGAGUGCAGAUUUUUAUAGGGGCUGACAUUAAGUUCCAAAGCACACUUGAAUAUCCACCAGUAGAAGCUCCAUUCUUGUACUUCUAAGAUCUUGAUUUGUCCGACCUCUUCUCUCUUCAACACCUUUGAAAAUGUCUGGCCCCUCCGACCGUCGUUUUGACUUGAACCUUGUUGAAGAGGCAGCCCCGCCUUCUCCAGACAACAUAUGGCGCCCAUCCUUCGUCUCCCCUACUGGUCCUCUUACCGUUGGGGAUUCCGUGAUGAAGAAUGGUAUGACCGCUGCGGUAGUGGCCAGGAACCUUCUCACUCCCAAAGAUAACAGACUACUUUCCAAACGGUUUGAUGAGUUGGCUGUUAAGGAUUCUCUGGCUCUCAGUGUUCAGUGUGCAGGUUCUGUGUCUAAUAUGGCCCAACGCCUAUUUGCUCGAACCCGCCAAGUUGAAUCAUUGGCGGUUGAAGUGAUGAGUCUUAAACAGGAGAUUAGAGGGCUCAAGCAUGAGAAUAAACAGUUGCACCGGCUCGCACAUGACUAUGCUACAAACAUGAAGAUGAAGCUUGACCAGAUGAAGGAAUCUGAUGGUCAGGUUUUACUUGAUCAUCAGAGAUUUGUGGGUUUGUUCCAAAGGCAUUUAUUGCCUUCGUCUUCUGGGGCUGUACCGCGUAAUGAAGCUCCAAAUGAUCAACCUCUGAUGCCUUCUCCUUCUAGGGUUUUGUCCAGUACUGAGGCUCCGAAUGAUCCCCCUCCGGUGCCUUCUCUUUCUGGGGCUCUACCGACUGUUGAGACUUCUCCUAAGCAACCUUUGUGAAGGCUCCCUCUUGUUUGUUUAUUUUGACUCAAGUAUAUGUACAUAUUUGUAACUUAUCGGGGAUAUCAAUAAAUAAGCUUUCCUUCAUUUCAACGUAUUGUGUUAAAUACACCAAAGCCUUCUUCGCUAAGUUCUUUGAAUUUUCUUUUGUUGAAGCUUGUAUGUUGAAGCUUUGUGAGUGGAGCAUGUAGGUUGAGGUAGUGUUCCCUUAAUUUCCUGAGUGAGGAAAACUUCUCGGUUGGAGACUUAGAAAAUCCAAGUCACUGAGUGGGAUCGGCUAUAUGAAUCUUAGAACGCCAUUGUGUUCUGUCCUGUGUCAUGUCCUCCGUUAGAUCCAAGUACUCUAAGUCUUUUCUUAGGGUCUCUUCCAAAGUUUUCCUAGGUCUUCCUCUACCCCUUCGGCCCUGAACCUUUGUCCUAUAGUCGCAUCUUCUAAUCGGAGCGUCAGUAGGCCUUCUUUGCACAUGUCCAAACCACCGUAACCGAUUUUCUCUCAUCUUUCCUUCAAUUUCGGCUACUCCUACUUUACCCCGGAUAUCCUCAUUCCUAAUCUUAUCCUUUCUCGUGUGCCCACACAUCCAACGAAGCAUCCUCAUCUCCGCUACACCCAUUUUGUGUACGUGUUGAUGCUUCACCGCCCAACAUUCUGUGCCAUACAGCAUCGCCGGCCUUAUUGCCGUCCUAUAAAAUUUUCCCUUGAGCUUCAGUGGCAUACGGCGGUCACACAACACGCCGGAUGCACUCUUCCACUUCAUCCAUCCAGCUUGUAUUUCUAUGGUUGAGAUCUCCAUCUAAUUCUCCGUUCUUUUUGCAAGAUAGAUCCUAGGUAACGAAAACGGUCGCUCUUUGGUAUUUCUUGAUCUCCGAUCAUCACCCUUAACUCGUUUUGGCCUCCAUUUGCACUAAACUUGCACUCCAUAUAUUCUGUCUUUGAUCGGCUUAGGCGAAGACCUUUAGAUUCCAACACUUCUCUCCAAAGGUUAAGCUUUGCAUUUACCCCUUCCUGAGUUUCAUCUAUCAACAUUAUAUCGUCUGCGAAAAGCAUACACCAAGGAAUAUCAUCUUGAAUAUGUCAUGUUAACUCAUCCAUUACCAACGCAAAAAGGUAAGGACUUAAGGAUGAGCCUUGAUGUAAUCCUACAGUUAUGGGAAAGCUUUCGGUUUGUCCUUCAUGAGUUCUUACGGCAGUCUUUGCUCCUUCAUACAUAUCCUGUAUAGCUUGGAUAUAUGCUACUCGUACUCCUUUCUUCUCUAAAAUCCUCCAAAGAAUGUCUCUUGGGACCCUAUCAUACGCUUUUUCCAAAUCUAUAAAGACCAUGUGUAAAUCAUUUUUCCCAUCUCUAUAUCUUUCCAUCAAUCUUCGUAAGAGAUAGAUUGCCUCCAUGGUUGAGCGCCCUGGCAUGAACCCGAAUUGGUUGUCCGAAACCCGUGUCUCUUGCCUCAAUCUAUGCUCAAUGACUCUCUCCCAAAGCUUCAUUGUAUGACUCAUUAGCUUAAUACCCCUAUAGUUCAUGCAAUUUUGUACAUCGCCCUUAUUCUUGUAGAUAGGCACCAAAGUGCUCAUUCGCCACUCAUUUGGCAUCUUCUUCGUUUUCAAAAUCCUAUUGAAAAGGUCAGUGAGCCAUGUUAUACCUGUCUCUCCCAAAACUUUCCACACUUCGAUUGGUAUAUCGUCUGGGCCUACUGCUUUUCUAUGCUUCAUCUUCUUCAAAGCUACAACCACUUAUUCCUUCCGGAUUCUACGAUAAAAAGAGUAGUUUCGACACUCUUCUGAGUUACUCAACUCCCCUAAAGAAGCACUCCUUUCAUGUCCUUCAUUGAAAAGAUUAUGAAAAUAACAUUUCCAUCUGUCUUUAACCGCGUUCUCUGUAGCAAGAACAUUUCCAUCCUCAUCCUUGAUGCACCUCACUUGGUUUAGAUCCCUUGUCUUCUUUUCCCCUGCUCUAGCUAGUUUAUAGAUAUCCAACUCUCCUUCUUUGGUAUCUAGUCGCUUAUACAUAUCGUCAUAAGCCGCUAACUUAGCUUCUCUCAGCUUUCUUCGCCUCUUGCUUCGCUUUUCUAUACCUUUCACCAUUUUCAUCGGUCAUAUCCUUGUAUAAGGCUUUACAACAUUCCUUCUUAGCCUUCACCUUUGUUUGUACCUCUUCAUUCCACCACCAAGAUUCCUUUUGGUGUGGGGCAAAGCCCUUGGACUCUCCUAAUACCUCUUUUGCUACUUUUCGGAUACAACUAGCCAUGGAAUCCCACAUUUGGUUAGAUUCCCCCUCUCUAUCCCACACACACUGGGUGAUUACUUUCUCUUUGAAAAUGACUUGUUUUUCUUCUUUUAGAUUCCACCAUCUAGUCCUUGGGCACUUCCAAGUCUUGUUCUUUUUUCUCACUCUUUUGAUAUGUACAUCCAUCACCAAUAAGCGAUGUUGAUUAGCCACGCUCUCUCCUGGUAUAACAAGCCAAUAAAACAAUAAUUCACUGUAUAAAUCAUUUUUUCAACUUUAAAGUGUGGCUUAAAAAGAAGCUUUAAACAAGUAGCAAUAAUUUCAUAUUGAAAAAUAAAACCUAUUUCAUGGAUAUUACAAGAGCCAUUAUUUUGAAAAACACACAUUUUGGUUCUUCGCUGCUUGACUUUUAAGAAGAUCUUUGUCCUUGUGACGAUUCAAAUUCUUUAAAAUAUCUCUGCAACGGAAUAAACAAAACCAAUCUAGGCCAAAAUUGACUUGUUCGAUUUGAUUAUGUUCAUUGAUUUUUCUGUUCACAUGUUUACCCCUACUUGCCAUAUAGUUUUGGGGUGUUAGCGCAUAGUGCUCUUCUCUUUACACACCAGUUUUAAUUUUAUUCUUCGUAAAUUAAGAGACCGUUUGAUAAUCAUUUCGUUUUCAAUUUAAAAAAAUAUAAAAAACUAAAUGAAGUUUUCAAAAUUUGACCUAGAAUUUUCGCUUUUGGUUUUCAAUUUUAAUUUUUUUAAAAACAACUGAAAACUAAAAAUAGUUACAAAAAGAAUUUUUCAGUUUUUAAUUUACAAAAAAGUAAAAACUGAAAACUCUAUACUAGACUAAAAAUUAAAAAGUGAAAUCGAAAUGGGCUCUCAACAAAAUUGAAAAAAGACUCGGCUGAAUUACUGAAUUCAAAGCAGGGCUUAUUAACGUUACGAGGCCCAAUGGAUCUAUAUAAAUAUUUUUCGUUUUUUUUUUUUAACAAACGAUAUUAUUUAUAUAGGCUUAAUCUUACCGUAGGCUAACAAUAAUGUGGUUCAAAUUUGUUUUUCGUAAGAAUCGAACUUAAAACUUCUCAUUUACAAAUGAAGACAAAAUCCACUAAACUGUAGUCUUGAGUGGCUCGUUAUUUUAUUUUAUAUUUUAAGAAAAAAGAAAGAAAGCAAUGAAAAGCUGUACAUAAAAUAAAUACAAAAAGGGAUGAAAUGAAGAAGAGUGGGAGACUAACGUUUAAUUCAAGAUAAAGAAAGAAAGGUAAUCGCACCACGACGGCGGCGACGUGGCGGUCAUUUAACGGAAAAUAACAGACAAAUCAGCCUCCAGAUCAAGUCUUGAAGCACAACUCUGAAAAAUCGAGACUACCUACAGCUGAGCUCCGACCAACCGUUGAUGGAUGCAAUCAGGAAGCUCAGAGAUCAGGUCGCCAAGCAACAGCAGGUACUCCCUCUCGUUUGAUUCCGAAUUUGUAUUUCUGUAUGGAUUUUGAUAUGAACAUAAUCUGCGUUGAUUGCGAGAUACUGAGAUUGCUUAAUGAAAUAAUAUUUAUAUAAUUAUUCGAGUUGAAUUGGAUCGAUUCGAAUUCAAAUAGAAUUUCACUAAUUCUGAGCUGUUUGGGGAUGUGUUGGAGUGCAAUGUUGAUGAAUUUCUGAAAUUUUGAGCUAGGUGUUGCUAAUUACUUAUCGAUUUUUGAUGUAACUGGAUGCUUAAUUUUUACAUUUUCGGAAAACUUGAAGCGAAAAUGGCAUAUAAUUCAACGUUCCAUGCUUCAUUAAUGCAUAUGAGUUAGUCGAAGCUUUAUCGAGUUUGCUUUUGAUUAUUUUGUGAACACCGUCAGGCUGUGUUCAAACAAUUUUCUGGUGGCAUAUAUGGGGGAUCGGAUAAUGUUGCCUCGGAUGAAAAUGAAUUUCAACAGCAUCAGAAACUCGAGAAGCUGUACAUAUCAACUCGUGCUGCCAAGGUUGCUACGCUUAUUUUUGUCUGUGCUUUAAACGAGCAUCACGUUAGUUGUGUUACCUAUCGUUUUUUGCUUCUUCUUUAACAGCAUUACCAAAAGGAAAUUGUCCGCGGAGUGGAAGGUUACAUUGUGGCCGGUUCAAAGCACGUUGAAAUAGGUAUGUUGCUUGAAAUGCGUUGUCUUUUCUUGGGAGUUUGGAUAUGAAUUCAUGUUGGUUUUAUCAGUUGGUAUACAUAAUACUUUUUCAACAGGUACCAAGCUAUCAGAAGAUAGCAGGAAAUAUGGUUCUGAAAAGACUUGCACCGGUGGUAACACAUUGUCGAGAGCUGCACUGAGUUUUGGAAGAGCUCGGGCCCAAAUGGAAAGAGAGUGCGGAGUUCUACUGAAAGCCCUUGGCACACAGGUUUAAGUCAAAUUAUUACUAUACAAUGGCUCAUUAAGUAAAAAUCAAAUAUUGCCAGGGCCGGUUUCAUACAAAUGGAAUUUCAACCUACUAAUUUUCGUGUGCAUUUGAUCAUUUCGAAAGAAAUUUACAGUAAAAAUUGUUUCCAUUUUCACGUGUGGUUCAAGAACUGCACUACUUUUUGUGUUAUUAUGCAUCAUAUAAGAGGUCGCACUUGGUGCGAUGGCAAGUGCCUUCGCCCAUGAGCGGUAGGUCUCGGGUUCGAGACUUGGGAGCAGCCUCUCCAUAAAUGGGGGUAAGGUUAGCCGACAUUCACCUCUCCCAGACCCUGCGUAAAGCGGGAGGCUUGUGCACUGGGUACGACCUUUAUGCAUCAUAUGACAAACUGGUUCACCAUUUCUUUCUAUAGGUUUGCAUAAUAACUCUUUCUGUGCUUAUCAAUUUGCCUGUGUAGGUUGUGUUAGGUUUUUGGCUCAAAAUUAGGAUGAUGCAAUAAAUUAGGUUUCUGUUAACUAUUUGGUUUUGGUGUUCUAUUUGGGUUUGGUUUUGACUUCUUAGUUAGUUUCCUUGGUGGAGAGAUUUUGUUAAUUACCUAUUUGAUUUGGAUUUGGAUUUAUUUCAUAUUAGGAUUCUUAUUGUAACCUAAGUCCUAUGCACUAUAAAUAGGACCUUAGGGUUAGUGUAUUUAGUGUGCUUCAUCAUGGUUUAGAGAGCUUUUCUCUAUUUUGGUUUUGGGUGGAGGUCACCGUUUGGAGUCACGAGCGUGGCAAAUUCAUGGCUCAUUCGUUUGGCAAAUUUGGUGAGAGUCAAUUUGUGAGUUUGUGAGUUAGAAAGCAAUUUGGGAGAAUCUUCUCCGUUUGUUUUGAGUUCUCUACUCGUUUGGUUUAGGGUUUGUAAUUUGUGGGAUUUAGGUUGUGAGAGUUUAAACACUCUUUUGUAAUCUCCAUUUGUUUAGUGAAAUUCCUUGCCGUGCUUCGCCCGUGGAGUAGGCUUUACGCCGAACCAUGUAAAUCUCGUGUUAGUUUGAGAUUGUUUGUUUUAGCUUUCACCUAUGACGUUGAUAUUUGGUACUUUGUUAUAAUUCGCUUCCGUUUGCGCAUAAAAGUACAACAAGUGGUAUCAGAGCCCAGGUUUCGGCUUGGGCUUUGCUUAGCAGUCACUCUGAAGCCUUCUGUGUUGAUAUUGAAAAGUUCGAAGGUAAUGACUUUGGUAUUUGGCAAUUGAAGAUGCGUGCUUUGGUAGUUCAAGGAAGGAAUAAGGAAAAGAGCAAACUUGGAAAGAACACUUGUAGCUAUUGUUAUAAGGAAGGCCAUUGGAAAGUAGAUUGCCCUAAACUCAAGGGCAAAAACAAGCCGUUUGAUAAGUCUUUUGCUAAUGUUGAUGCAAACAUUGCAGAAGAUCAUUGUUCUGAACUCCUCUAAAUGUUAUGUGAGGAGGUGGAGCUUGGUACUCAAGCUCUUUGGGUGGAGUGCAAUUCGCACUUUUUGUUCAUAUGUUCAAGCUUUUGCUUGGAUUUUGUUUCGUAUUUGUUAGUUUCCAUAAUGGAAUUUGUUGGAGAAGGCAUUGGAGGAAAUUUCAAGUUUGAAGACUUUUGGAUUUUUUGAGUCUAGGUGGAGAUCAGUUUCAAAAGAAUUUGGUGCACGUUUGCGUUUGUAUUUUGGUAUCCCAAAUUUGGAAGUUUGCUAAUUUCUCGCCGAGGUGGAGAUUGUUAGGUUUUUGGCUCAAAAUUAGGAUGAUGCAAUAAAUUAGGUUUCUGUUACCUAUUUGGUUUUGGUGUCCUAUUUGGGUUGGGUUUUGACUUUUUAGUUAGUUUCCUUGGUGGAGAGAUUUGUUAAUUACCUAUUUGAUUUGGAUUUGGAUUUAUUUCCUAUUAGGAUUCUUAUUGUAACCUAAGUCCUAUGCACUAUAAAUAGGACCUUAGGGUUAGUGUAUUUAGUGUGCCUCAUCAUGGUUUAGAGAGCUUUUCUCUAUUUUGGUUUUGGGUGGAGGUCACCGUUUGAAGUCAUGAGUGUGUGGCAAAUUCAUGGCUCAUUCGUUUGGCAAAUUUGGUGAGAGUCAAUUUGUGAGUUUGUGAGUUAGAAAGCAAUUUGGGAGAAUCUUCUCCGUUUGUUUUGAGUUCUCUACUCUUUUGGUUUAGGGUUUGUAAUUUGUGGGAUUUGGGUUGUGAGAGUUUAAACACUCUUUUGCAAUCUCCGUUUGUUUAGUGAAAUUCCUUGCCGUGCUUUGCCCGUGAAGUAGGCUUUAUGCCGAACCACGUAAAUCUCUUGUGUUAGUUUGAGAUUGUUUGUUUUAGCUUUCACCUAUGACGUUGAUAUUUGGUACUUUGUUAUAAUUCGCUUCCGUUUGCGCAUAAAAGUACAACAGGUUGCAGAGCCUUUAAGAGCAAUGAUAGUGGGAACACCCUUGGAGGAUGCUCGACAUCUAACUCAACGAUAUGCUAGAAUGCGGCAAGAAGCUGAAGCUCAGGUAUAUGCAGUUUCUUCUGUUUCCUACCAAUUUUAUACUACAGUGAUUUUACAUGUUACAUGGUGAUCAUACAUUUCUCGGUUAACUUUUUUUGUUUUCUUUUAAAAGUGUUUGUUCAUUUUGAGACAAUCAUGCAUUGGUAUUUAUAGAGAACGCAAAAUCUUAAGAUGUUUAAUGUAACUUGUUGAGAUUGCUUCAUUACUUGAAGCUUUGUUGUAAUUUGGUUUUUGUUUUUUUUUUAUUACUCCUUCAGAUUUGUCUAUAUAUACUAACUUGCACCGGGAUAGGCUAUAGAUGUUUCCAGACGCCAGGCCAAAGUACGGGAUUCUGCAGGUAAUGCUGACAUUAUCAUGAAACUAGAAGCUGCUGAAGCCAAGCUUCAGGAGCUGCAGUCUAGCGUUGCAAUAUUGGGAAAAGAAGCUAGUGCAGCUAUGGCUGCUGUUGAAGGUCAACAACAAAGAUUGACUCUUCAGCGGCUUCUUGCGAUGGUAAAGGAUUGCCUUCUCCUUUUUAUUUAAGUGUUAAGACCUUGGCCUGUUCUAGUUACAAGACUGAAAAGGAAAUUAAUUUUGUAAAUUUGUGAUUUUUCGUCCCCAUUCAAGGUUGAAGGAGAACGCAACUAUCAUCAGAACGUUCUUUAGAUACUUGAUCAGCUUGAAGGCGAGGUAUGAAAUAUCCUAAAGUCUUCCUUUCAGCAUGACAAUUUCUUUUCCCAAUUCAUUUGGCUGUAUAUUAUUCUAGUGUCUUGCUACUAAAAGCAGAGAUCAUUGACAGUAUUUGUUGGGACAGAUUUUAUCAGAAAAGCAGCGAAUUGAAGCAUCGCAUAGUCCGCCUACCGAGGACACUAUGCCUCCACCACCAUCGUAUGAGGAUCUCGGCCGUAGCUUUGCUUCUGAAACCUGUGAUGAAUUGACAGAGUUGAGGGACUCUUCUCUUUCUUAGGAGAGGUAUCUUUAUGCUAUUGUUGUUGUAUCCAAGUUUUAGUCUGUUCGACUCUUUAGUUUCUAGUAACUGUUUCUUUUCGCCUACCGCAGGUUAUUUACACCUUCCACGCUGUAACUGAUGUGGAGUUAAGUUUGUCAUUCGGGAAUUACGUUGUCGUCCGGAAGGUUCUGUCGUCUUUCCUGCUUGCAUGCUUUCAUCUUAUAUUCAUGUUCGGAUUUAUUUCUUUCGUAUUGAGGUUAAAUUUUCAUGUUCAAAGACGUUCACUCAGGUAUGUUCGUCAAUGCAUAGGCAUUAGCACACCACCGAGUGCAUUAGAAUAUGGAUUUCAGUUUUGGGUGCUGCAUGCAUUAAUGUAGUUUGUCUGGUUUUGGUUAUUGCUGCCGCUGAGCAUGAGUGGCUUUCUGUAGUUGCUGAGAGUUAUAUUGUGAGCAUAAUUCAUACAGCAGCUUUCAUAUACGGCACAUGUAGUCGGCAGCACUGCAUUUAGAAAGAGAAAGUUAUAUUUUCUUCACUGUUUAUUGAAAACUUAUAUGUUGCAUGUUCUGACUUUUAAAGUGAGUCGGCAUCAGAGUUUUUAUUUGAGAAAAAUCAGUUUUGUGUCCAUGUGUUUUCAAAGAAAAUAUUUUAGUUUUUAAUCACUGAUUUUUCAUUGUGCUUCAAUUAGAAAUCAAUUAUGAGAAUGUGCCUUGUGAUUUUCGUAAUUGGUUGAUUUCAAAAAAUCUUUACAUUUCAUACAUUCUGCAUGAUCACAUUAGGAUCUUGCAAAGUUCAAGGACACAGUGAUUGACUGUCGCGUUAGUGUCGUGCCACUUUCACUUGAAAGCUGAAGAGAGAUCGAGUAGCAAAGCUCAAUGAAAAAAAUUGCCUACUAGUAUGUGGGUCUAGUUAAUGAGUUUUGUAAGUCUUUCUAUACUCAUUUGUCCUGGCUUAAGAGUUUGAGGAUUUUCUCAGUGAUGAGUUUUACCUUGUUAAAUCCUACAUCAUGUGUACACAUGUUAUUUGUCUUUUUAAUUGCAAAUGUGUAGGAUAAUCUUUCACUUAUUUUCUUGUAGUGAACUCUAUCUUAGACAUUCAUCAACAUUUAGAGUUUACGACAGAGGACUUUGCUACCAUAUUAUCAGUGCAUUGAUUAAUUUGUAAAGCGCCCAUUUAUCCUAAUUAUAAAAUAUAUCCUAAUUAUAAAAUAUAAUCUGUACAAGACAUUAACAGUUUGGAUGUCAUGUAUGGCCACAUCCUUUAUUUUCAGAAUAAUGCUAUUCAUACCAUGUUUUUAUAUCAUAUUUAUAUACCACUUUAAGUGGCAUCUGAUGUAAACAACCACAUCAUUUGAAAAAUUUGCAAAACCCAAGGAAAGGAAAGAGAAAGACUCUUUGUAUACCAUAAUCGUCAUUUAAUUAACUAAUUUUUCUUAAUUAUUAGUUUAUUAAAUAAUGAACUAAAUUUAAAAAUCUGAUUAAUUCAAAUUAUGUGUCAGUUCACAUCACAUCAAAUGCCACCGAAAAUGGUAUGAAAAUGUUGUAUAAAAAUAUGGUAUGAAUAACAUUACUCUUAUUUCCACCAUUCUUAUCAACUGGAUGGGGAUAGAUUGUCUUUAUCUCACAAACCCAUAAUGUGGCAAUCGUCCAUUAGAAAGGUAAUGUACGUUUUGAAAAUCGUGGUAAAUAUUGAAUGAGUAAUGACGCCUCUAAAAAUAAAAUUUAGUUAUUUGAAAGAAUCUUUCAUAAAAUAAAGUAACGAAUAAUCAACAAAAGUAGCAGUACACCAAGUUGAAUCCUUUUCAACGUUGAAAUGAAAUAUGAAAGUAGAUCAAGUUUAUAUUAUUCAUCUACUUUUUAUUUUAUUUUAAUAAACGAUAUUAUCUACACUAAAGAGAUAGAGUUGGUUAAGCCUCACAAUGGACUAGCAAUAAUAUGGUUCAAAUUCACAUUUGACGAGAAUCAAACCAAGUGAAGAGAAAUAUCAUUAGACCGUAACAUUAUUCAUCAACUUUUAAAUUCAUCCACUUUUAAAUAAUAAACAAUCAAGAAAAACAUUGCACGCGGUCCCCUCUCGUCACUUACCACUAGUGCCAUCACUUACCUGAGCAAAAGAGAUAUUUCUAAUUGCUUGACCCAAACAAGCAUUGAGUUCAUCCAUCAAUAACAGGUCCACAUCUCAACCCAAAUAUAAUAACGUCAAAGGAGAGGGGAAAAUGAGAAGGAAACUCUGGAGGGUAGAGGGAAGGAAAAGGAGAAAAGGACAAAGGAGAAAAGGACAAAGGGAGAAGGGAAAAGUAGAAAGGGAAGGAGGACCACAGUAGAAAAUAUCGAUAAUAUCGGUGAAAUAUCGCCGAUAUUAUCGUUUUUUUGGGACCCCGAUAUUUUAGUAACUAUCCAACUUGUUUUCGGCAGAAUAUCGCGAUAUUAUCGAUAAUAUCGAUAAUAUCGCGAUAUUUUCGAAACUAUCGCGAUAUUUGGUAUGGACUCAUCGGAGAACACGGCCGGAGCAAAUAAUCCGAAACCCUAAAUCCCCAAAUGCUAAAUCAAAGCAAAUGAACUGAAUCUACAAUACAGGAUUCCGAGAAGAACGAUUUCAGUACAAAAUUCAACAUGUUUACAAGCCGAGAAGAACGAUUUCAGUACAAAAUUCAAAGCAAAUGAACCGAUUCCCUAAAUCCCCAAAUUCGGAUUCAAAGCAACUGAACUAAAUCCCUAAUUCCUAAAUCCCUAAAAUCUAUUUCAGUACAAAAAUCAAGCAACAUGCAGAUAAAUCGCAAUCUGUACAAAAAUAGAAACCCUAAUUCCUAAAUCCCUAAAAUCAAUUUCAGUACAACAAAGGUGCAACAUGCAGAAAAAUUGAAAUCUGUACAAAAAUUUAAAGUAAUAGAGGGGAAGAAGAGAAGUAGGAGCCUGGAACAUCGUCUUCCUCACGAAUCCAAGACGGCUGGGACAAGUUCGUGCUCCUCAGUGGUGUCGACGGCUUGGACUACGGAGACAGAGGGAGACACGGAGACACGGACGGUUAUGGAGUGGUGUCGACGGCUGGGUUUAGGGCGGGUGAGAUAGGAGGAGCAGAGGGAGACAGGGAGACACGGAGACACGGACGAGGAGGAUCGAGAUUUGAGAGAUGAUGUCUCUGUGUGUGUGUGGAAGAACUGGAGAAGGGGGAAGGGAGGGAGAAGACUGAGAACUUCUCGGUGAGAACGAAGGCUCAGACCGACCUCAGAGAGAAAAGAGAGAAGAGAGAGACUGAGAGGAUUCGAGAAUAUGGUAGUGGAGUGGGAAAUGAAAGAUCGAGAGAGAGACCUCCGUGUGUGGUGUACGUGUGUGGUGUGCGUGUGUGGUGUGGUGGGGGGGUCUCGAAGUGUGUGUGUGGUGGAGUGUGAGUUCUUCAGUCUUUUUGACUGUCUGAGUGAUGGUGUCUAAGAAAAAAAAAGCAUCCAAUGCUCCAAAUUAUUCAAAACCAAAUCAUUCCAAACCUAUGUCUACCUCUCUGAUCCAAUGAUCCAAAGAACUUUUUUGCAAUUUCAGAACAUGCACAACAAAUACUACUGCUUUAAUAAUGAAAGCGUGUGACAGUCUUUCACAUGCAAAACAGUGUCAAUGUCUGUUAUAUACUUACAUUCUUUCAUCAUCAGAGGCAUUCACCGAAUUUUAACUUACAUUCUUCUUCCCAUACCAUUUUCAAAACCAUUCCAGAUCCUUUCCAAAGCCAAGCAACACAAAGGCUUCCAUAUUUAAGGUAAGUUUACAAACUUAAAUUUAUAUUAUUGUAAUUUAUAUACAAAAACAAAUAAAUUUGUGUGCACUCGUAUGUUAAUUUUUUUAAGUAAUUACUUGCAUGUUAAUUAUGUUAAUUUUUGUAAGUAAUUAAGUAAUGUUAAUAUUAAUUGUUUUAAGUAAUUAAGUAAUGUUGUAUAAUUAUUCCCUAGGAUAAUUUUAAUAUGUUUAAUAUUAUUUAUUAUUUUAUUUCUCUUACCAUCUUCAUUAUCAAAUUGGAUUAUUAUUCAUUAAUAUUAGGUUUUUUUAUUAUCAAAUUGGAUUAUUAUUCUUUAAUAUUAGAUUUUUUUAUUAUCAAAUUGGAUUAUUAUUCUUUUAUAUUAGGUUUUUUUAUUAUCAAAUUGGAUUAUUAUUCUUUUAUAUUAGGAAUUUUUUUAUCAAAUUGGUGGAUUAUUCAUUAAAUUUGAUUAUUAUCAAAUUGGAUUAUUAUUCAUCACCAUGUUUUAUAUUAGGAUAAUUUUUUUAUCAAAUUGGUGGAUUAUUCAUUAAAUUGGAUUAUUAUCAAAUUUGGAAUAUUAUUCAUCACCAUGUUUUAUAUUAGGAUAAUUUUUUUAUCAAAUUGGAUUAUUUCAUUAAAUUGGAUUAUUAUCAAAUUGGAUUAUUAUUCAUCACCAUGUUUUAUAUUAGGAUAAUUUUUUUUAUCAAAUUGGUGGAUUAUUCAUUAAAUUGGAUUAUUAUCAAAUUGGAUUAUUAUUCAUCACCAUGUUUUAUAUUAGGAUAAUUUUUUUAUCAAAUUGGUGGAUUAUUCAUUAAAUUGGAUUAUUAUCAAAUUGGAUUAUUAUUUAUCAAAUUGGAUUAUUAUUCAUCACCAUGUUUUAAUUUAGGAUAAUUUUUUUAUCAAAUUGGUGGAUUAUUCAUUAAAUUGGAUUAUUAUCAAAUUGGAUUAUUAUUCAUCACCAUGUUUUAUAUUAGGAUUUUUUUUUAUCAAAUUGGAUUAUUAUUCAUUAAAUUGAAUUAUUAUCAAAUUGGAUUAUUAUUCAUUAAUAUUAGGUUUUAUUAUUCCAUAUUAUUUGUAUAAUUACUUAACUUUUUACAAUCAUUUUCUUUACUUUGUAUUUAAUUCUUCUGUAGAAUAACUUUAUUAUUUAGGUUCUCUUAUUUUUAUCAAAAAAUAAUUGUCUAAUUUUAAUGAAAAAUAAAUAUAGGUACAUUUAAUGUUAUAACCCUUACCCAAAAAAUAACCUAGUUUACUUUGGGCCAGGCUAAUCCCUUUGUGUUUUAAUGUAAGGCCCGAGUUUUUCUUUAAUUUUCUUAAGCCCAAGGUUUAUUCAACCCGUGAACCUCAUCUCCUUCCUCUCUCUUUUCUGAAAAGUCAUCUCUCUCUUUCUUUGUUUCUUCCCUCUCUCUCUCUAACUCUCACUCUCUAAAACCCGAGAGAAGAGAGCUCUCACCCUCCCACUUACCUUCACCACCAAGCCCUAUUUUCUACAUAUUCGGAGUCUGUGGGAUGCAAGGAUCACGAUGGUGGUCUUGCAUGUGAUAUCACUGCAGUGAGGACCUCGGCACCAUUAAAGUUGAGAGCUCCAUAGCUCUCAAAGCUUGAACCCAGGUGAACUAUGCCUUCUUCUCUAAAUUUCUGGGUUUAUGAAUGAUAUUUUAAUCUAUGUGAUUAUUAAGUUUAUCCCGUUAUUUCAAGAUUAAGGACGAAACCAUCGUGGGGGAAAGCUCACCCAAACUUUCCGGCGAACCCGUGACUCUCGAGGGAUUUUCCGAGCACACCGGGCCGUGUCACGGUGAAGCAAGGGUACAUUAAUACUCCUCUCUCUCCCCACUUCAUUUUGUUAUGUAGUUUGGACCUUGAGAUGCUCGUUCGUCGUCGACCGGAGCUAUAAUAGCUCCGGUGUUCUUCCCCGGUCAGCUCGCAAGCCUUCAGGCCGUUUAGGACACCCACGGGCCUUAGGCCCAUAUUGGUUCAGCCCUUUUUGCGUAUGGGUGGGUGUAAAUGUGCGAAUGUAUGCUGUGUGUGUGUAUGCAUGUUCGUGCGUAUGUAUGUGCAGUGUGGGUUCGGUGUGUGUCUGUGCGUGUUUGUCCAUGUGAGUGUGUGCGUUUGGUAAGUGUGCAGGCCGUGCAUGUGUGGGUGUAUGUGUAGUGCAUAUGUGCAGUGUGUGAAUAUGUAUAUGUGUGUGUGUGUGCUGGUGCGUAAGUAUAUGUAUGUGUGUGUGUUUAUAUAUAUAUAUAUAUAUGCAUUUGUGGGUGCAGCGCAUGCUAAUGCAUGCUGUGUGUGUUUAUAUAUGUAUCUAUAUAUAUAUAUAUAUAUAUAUAUAUAUGCAAGAGUGUGUGUGUGCAGUGCAUGCUUUGCAUGUAUGUGUGUGUGGGUGAGUAUGGGUUGGGCUCAAGCCCAAACCACCUUUUGAUCCUUACCUAUCCAAAUCCAAGGUCCAUUUCCAUUUCCUAGAAUUAUAUUGUUGGGUAGUUUGAUUAACUGUACGUUCUUGUACUUAGGGACACUUAUCGCGACGUUUCUGUCUUCGCUAGUGGCGCAGCUUUUGACGGAGUAUCUGUGAGUGGACCACCUUCGAAAAUUGCAUGUUUUAUUGAUAGAAUUGCAUAAUUUAAUAGCAUGCCUUACAGAAUUAUUUGAUUUGAGGAUUGAUGAAAUUAUGCUACGAAGUUGUAUUUUAGAGAUGAAUUAUGUUUUGUGCGUACCUAGUGAACACUAUGCCGCCUGGGGCGAGGAUCUGGUGUUGGCAUUGAGGCCGGGAGAAAUAAUCCCUAGCGAAAGGCUGAGGGACACGGAGACAGGCAUUGGGCCGGGAGGGAGAUAUCUCUGGCUACGGGCACAGAGACUGAGGUGCAGGCAUUGGGCCGGGAGUAUUGUUAUUCAGUGCACUCACUAGCAGCACAACUUAUGUUAUGCUUCCUGAUACGAUUUCUGAUAUGAUUUCUGAUAUGAUUUUAUGAGAUUGAUUUGCAGAGAGAUAUAUGAAUUGUUUUUAUGGCAUGCUAGUGGUUUUGAGAAACCUAUCACUUAUUAUUUAGUAGUUUUCAUUAUCUUAACUGUGGGGGUUAGUAUGUUCAUAACUAUUUUUGUACUACGUAUGUAUAUAAACUUGGUCCACUCACCCUUGUUUUGCGCCCCCAUUCAGGACUUAGGAUGAAGGCACAUAACCCCGGCAACAAGGUACUUCCGCAGCGGCAUCUUCGAGUCCUCUCGGGGUAGGACCCACUCAUUUGUUCAUUCAAUCUUAUCUUAAUUCUUAUUAGUGACUAGGUUUAGUUAUAUGCUCUGAACACGUUCCUAAAUUGUUAAUUCAUUGUUUUUAAAUUCAUAACCUGUAUUUAUUUCUUAUUCUUAGCUUUUGUAUCAAUUAAUGGCUUUCGUCACCCCCGGGUGUCGGCCAGCACGUGUCGGUCCUGGUAUUCGGGGAAUAUCAGGGUCGGGGCGUGUCAUUUAAGAUGUCAAGUAAACGUGAUCCAGCUUGGGAACAUGGAGACCCAAUAGACGGAAACAAACAUGGCACAAUUUGCAAAUAUUGUGGUCGGGUAAUGAAGAGUGGCGGAGUGACACGACUGAAGUAUCAUCUUAGUGGAUUAGAUCCAUCAAAAAAUGUCCAACGAUGCGAUAAUGUCCCCCCAGAAGUGAAGGCAUUCAUCAGCACAUUAUUAAAAAAUAAAAAACAGCAGAAGGAAAAGAUGACACAAGGAAUGGAAAAUAUUCGAGCUGAGCUACGGGGAGAAGUCUAUGGCCAAGCGGUUGACAGUGAUGAUGAUGACGAUGAGGACGAAUGUGAUGAUGACAUGGGACCUGAAGAACGACGCAGUUUGAAACAAGCAUUACGUGCCUCCAAACAGUCAGCAUGGGAAAGAGAACACCUUCAUAAAAUUCCUAAUAGGGGACAAGGUUCCGGGACAAGUGGUGGUGCACAAAUGAGACGGGGAGGCAGUCUUAGAGAAUCACAACCAACACCACCAAUAGCCCCAAGUUUAUAUAAGUCAUCCAACGCACGUCAAAAGAGUGUUUGGAGUUAUUUCAAGGGAGGUAAUGUGAAGGAGGGAAUGGGGCGUCUAAUUAGCAAGUUCUUUAUCUAUGAAAAUGUCCCUGCUGCGAAGGCUUCAUCACAUCAUUUCAAAAAUAUGGUAGUGGGAUGUCAACAGGCCGGUGUUGGAGUACAACCUCCCACUCCCUAUGAGAUAAGAAACAAAUAUUUGGAUAUGGAGUAUAAAGACAUUGGCGAGUAUGUUAACAAGUUGAGGUCAAAGUGGGAAACUAAUGGUUGCACAAUCAUGUGUGACGGAUGGACCGGCCCCCGACCAGAUUAUCUAUCAUCAACUUCAUGGUAUAUUCCAAGGGCAAGACAAUUUUUUUGAAGUCUGUUGAUGCUUCAGACCAUAUAAAGAAUUACAAAUAUAUUUACAAAUUAUUGAGGGAUGUAAUCAUGGAGGUGGGAGAGCAUAAUGUUGUCCAAGUCGUGACCGACAACGGUUCUGCAUUUGUCAAAGCUGGAAAAAAGUUAAUGAAGCAUCAUAAUGUGUUUUGGACAUCAUGUGCAACACAUUGUAUUGAUCUUAUGUUUGAGGCAAUGGGGAAGAGAGAGAAUGUUGCUACUGUGGUCAAAAGAGCUAGAACGAUCACUAAUUUAUAUUUACAAUCACGGUUGGUUGUUGGCAAAGAUGCGUGAAUUUUGCAGAGGAGAAAUUAUUCGUCCAGCUACCACUCGAUUCGCCACCAACUAUAUUGCAUUAAACAGCCUACUCAAGAAGAAAGCAGGGUUGAAGCAACUAUUCACCAGUGAUGAUUAGGCCAACCACAAUUUUAGCCGCUCAAAUACAGGUCGUUUGGUGGAAAGUAUAGUGCUUGAUCAUGCUUUUUGGAGUCAAACAGAACAUGUGUGUCAAGUGUUUGAACCUCUUUACAAAGUUUUACGGAUCGUUGACACAGAAGUGUAUCCCUACUAUGGGGGCUGUAUAUGAGUUGAUGCGUGUAGUGAAGGAUGAAUUGGAAAGAAAACAUGGUGCAAGGUGGGUCGUAAAAAUAAUUGAAGACCGAUGGUAUAAAACAUUAUACCACGAUUUGCAUGCAGCAGGUAUAAAUUAUGUCAUAAUUUGCAAUUCAUUUCUUUAGUUGCAUAAAUAUUAUUUAUCUUAUUAGAGUAUGUGUUUCUUUGAAACAGCAUAUUAUUUGAAUCCCCGAUACCAAUACAGACCCGGUGUUGGAGAUGAUGGUACCCUUAUACGUGCUGUACAUAAUGUAUACUCUAAAUUAGACCCUGCAUCACCAGCAGUUGGCCAAUUUGGAAAUGAGGUACACAAUUACUUAAAUUAUAAUAAUUACUUUGUUGGAUUAAACUAACACAAUUUAUUGUAUUCAGCUAACAUGGUUUAAAGAUGCAAGAAGAACAUUUGGAGAACCAACAUCAGUUGCUGCUCGAACAAAUAUGUCUCCUAGUGAGUAUAAACAUAUUUCACUAUAAGUUUUAUAAUAGAAUUUUUGUUGGAGUUAUUAGGCUUAUCAACAUUAUUUUUCAUUGUAGCUGAAUGGUGGAUCAUGUAUGGGACCGAUGCACCAACUGUGAGAAAGUUAGCAAUAAAAGUAUUAUCACAAACAGCUUCCUCAUCAGCUUGUGAAAGAAAUUGGAGCACAUUUGCACUCAUCCAUACAAAGCAAAGAAAUAAGUUGGCUCAUAGUAGCUUGGAAAAAUUAGUUUAUUGCUACUACAACAUGAAGCUUCAAAUUCGAGAUAAGGAAGCAAGAAUCGAUCAUGUCGACCGUGGUGACCCACUAGAUGUGUUUGAUAUUGUUGGUGAAGAUGAUGAUAUGGAGGGUAACCAACUUUUUCAAUGGAUUAGACCUCUUCAUUUAGAUGAUGAUGAAGGCAACCCAGCUCCCAGAGUUGCUGAAGAAGCACGUAAUGAAGGGAUAAAUGUAGAAAGAGUAUUAGAGGAGGAGGUGGGAUCUAGCAGCGCUGACUCUUUCGAAGAACUUUUGCACCCAAUGCCAAGCAACACUGGAAUUCCACCUUUUUCUAAUCCUACACAACCACAACAUCGUGCUGAUACUAAUGAUAGCUCUAGUACAAGAUCAGGAGACUCACCUACCACCGGAGGUGGGAAUGAUGAAGGAAAUAGUGGAGCUGGAGGUAGUGGAGCUGGAGGUAGUGGUGGUGGAUAUGGAAACUAUUAUGGACCACCACCUCCCGGAUAUAUGAGCCCCUUCACUGGUGAGGCAAACUUCACGCAUGCAACACAAGAUGAUGACCAUGGCAGUAGGCGGGCAAGACCAGGAAUUGGUGCCAUAGGGAAGGACUAUACUCGCAGAGAAAGAGGCAAAGGGAUUUUGUCAAGUCAAGAAGAUGACUCGUUAUCUAGAACUUCAGACUCUUUUGGAUUGGGAAGUAGUAACUAUGGUUAUACUCAUAACCAACCAUUUCCCUACCCUUCAUAUCCCAUUCCUGUUGGGAUGGAAUCGAGCGACUCAUGGAAUCAAUCCCAGCCUCAAUCUUCAAAUGAUUUUUCUUAUGGACAACCUCAACCAAUCUCGGAUCCAUAUGGGUGGCAUAUUAACAAUUACAUGCAAAACUAUUUUGGGGAUUUAUCAUUUGAUAACUACUCUUCACAAUACACUCAUUCUACACAUAGAGAUGAUGAAGAUAGUGACAAAUUUGAACCUCAUAGGAACUCUAUGUGGUACUAAAGUGUAAAAUAUUGUACUAAUUCAUUAUAUAUAAAUGAUUAUGGUGUGUUUAGACUUCUUUCAUUAAUUACUACAUAUUUUCUACACUCAUAAUGUUUGUCAGAUCGCUAUAUAAUCAACUUGAUAAUGUUAAAUCCAUCAUGCAAUGCAUUUCCUUCCAAUUUUUUGUGAUAAACUAAUAGAUAAUUGACUAAAUAAACAUCCUACAAAGUUUCAAUACAAAUUUCCAAGUUUUUCUUACAAUUUCCGUGGUUUCCAUGUAAUUUUUAUCGAUAUCGAUAUUUUACCGAUAUUUCCAUCGAUAUUUCCGUGUUUUCGGACUACCGAUAUUUCCGAUAUCACCGAUAUUUUCUUCCUUGAGGAGGACAAUGAGAGGAAAUUUCGGAGAAUAGAGAAAAGGAGAAGGGAAAAGUAGAAAAGGAGAAGAGAAGGGAUAAGGGGAAGGAAGCUUAGGAGGGUAGGCAGACGAAAAGAGGGAAAUGCAUAAAAAUAAAAAAUAAAAAAGGAAAGUUGACUUCAUCAUUAUGUCUCCUAGCGGAAAGGAGCAAUCACAUUGUAAAUUAUAUUUCGUAUAAUGAGAAAUUAGUAUUCCUACUCGAGGAUAUAGACACAACUUGUCGAAUCUCGUUACUAUACAGCAAGUCUAUAAUUGCACAACAAUUUGAUUAACCACCUUAAGUUCAUCCAUAUGUACUAAGAUUCAAGUUUUUCCAAACUUUCCUUAUGAAACUAACUGAACAUUACAAGUGCCUCAUUAUUAUGCGGUUCGAUCAAGUUUUAAUUUUUGUCUCAUAACCACAUUAUCUUUAGGACAAUAAUCUUGUGGUUGAAUAUAAAAACCUUCGACAUGGUGAUCAAUGGCGGAGCCAAGUUAAGGGCUGCCCUGGGCUGCAGCCUAGGUAGCUUGUGGUGAAAAAUAAAAUUUUACAUGUAAAUUAGAUUGAUUUUCGAAUGUAGUCCACCAAAUAUUUAGUCGCUAAUUCAAAUUCUCUAGGUUUAACUAUAUAAAAUUAUAUAAUACACUUUGCAAACCAUCUCUUUUUCUUACAUUAUUUUUCUCAUCGCUUCUUGUACAUGUACAAAUUUGGAUUUGUUUAAUUUUAACACGUUUUUGGCUCACCUUGUGAAUUUUUUUAAGCUAACUGAUACUAUAAGAAAUAGGGUAUCAAGUUUCUUUAUUUAAAAAGAUUUAAAAUUUUAAACUAGCCCACCCGGUAAAACAUUCCUAACUCCGCUAUUGAUGGUGAUAUUGGAAACACUAGUUGGUGGGUUGAUUGGUAGAAAUGGUUCCAACAAUUUAAAGAUGAGAAAUGAGUAUUGAGCAAUGAUCAAAAUGUGUUGUACUUUAUCAGAAAAGAUCUUUGUGCAAUCAAAAGUGCAUUUUAUCACAAAAAGGUAACAACGAUCAAUAUAAUUGUUAUUUAUAAAAUCACACAUAAAAUAAGAAGUAAUCUUUUCUUUUUCUUUUCAUCUCUGCCACUAUGGGCCGACCAUGACUUAAAGAAACGCUUUUUGGGUCAAUGGAUGGGAACGACCCAUUUUAUAAUAUUGUUUGUAAAUUUUUCUGGAAGUAGAUGGAAAUGACCGAAGUACAUAUUUCCCCUGCUCACAGACAUUUGCAUUGCACCUAGCAAACACCAGUUUUUUUGUUUGAACAUCGAUCCACAUCAACGUUUAAUUCAAGAUAAAGAAAGGUAAUCGCAACACGACGGCGGCGACGUGGCGGUCAUUUAACGGAAAAUAACAGACAAAUCAGCCUCCAGAUCAAGUCUUGAAGCACAACUCUGAAAAAUCGAGACUACCUACAUCUGAGCUCCGACCAACCGCUGAUGGAGGCAAUCAGGAAGCUCAGAGAUCAGGUCGCCAAGCAACAGCAGGUACUCUCUCUCUCUUGUUUGAUUCCGAAUUUGUAUUUCUCAAUGGAAUUUUAUAUGAACAUAAUCUGCGUUGAUUGCGAGAUACUGAGAUUGCUUAAUGAAAUAAUAUUUAUAUAAUUGUUCGAGUUGAAUUGGAUCGAUUCGAAUUCGAAUAGAAUUUCACUAUUUCUGAGCUGUGUUGGAGUGCAGUGUUGCCGAAUUUCUGAAAUUUUGAGCUAGGUGUUGCUAAUUACUUAUCCAUUUUUGGAUUUAAUUGGAUGCUUAAUUUUUACAUUUUCGGAAAACUUCAAGCAAAAAUGGUAUAUGAUUUUUAUCAUAAAAAGAGUUAGUCGAAGCUUUAUCGAGUUUGCUUUUGAUUAUUUUAUCAUAAAAAGAUGAGCAACGAUCUAUAUAAUUUUUCUGGAAGUUGAUGGAAAUGACCCAAUUACAUAUUUCCCCUCCUCACAGACAUUUGCAUUGCACCUAGCAAACACCAGUUUUUUUGUUUGAACAUCGAUCCACAUCAAUGGCUCUUGUGAGAACAUCUCCAGGAACCUCCUCUGAUUCCAACACUUUUCGGAGUUCUCGCUACGACGUGUUCUUGAGCUUCAGAGGGGAAGAAACUCGCAAGACUUUUACCGACCACCUCUACACAGCCUUGAACAACGCAGGAUUUCUUACGUUCCGAGACGACGAUGAACUUGAGAGAGGAGAAGAUAUAAAGCCAGGACUGCAGAAAGCGAUCCAGCAGUCACGAACUUCUGUUGUCGUGUUUUCGAAAGAUUACGCGUCAUCCAGUUGGUGUCUUGAUGAGCUUGUGCUGAUCCUUGAACGCAAGAGGACCACCUCGGACCAUGUAGUUUUACCAGUCUUCUACGAUGUCGAUCCGUCCCACGUGAGGAAGCAGACAGGAAGUGUUGGAAAAGCAUUUGCUAGAAGCCAGAAAAAUCAGUCGCCGGAAAAGGUGCAGGGAUGGAGGAAGGCACUUGCAGAGAUUGCAGACCUAGCAGGCAUGGUCUUACAAAAUCAAGCUGAUGGGUAACUUUCAUUAUCUCCAUUUCUCAUCUCUUUCCUGGGUGAAUUUGAUGUAUGAUCCGUAGUGACCUAGAUUUUUAUAUGUUUAUUAAUUCAAUCUCAGUAGUGAAUAAUAAUCUCAAUUUAGGUCAACUUAAAGAAAUCACACUCAACUCAACUUAAGGAUUAGUCAUUUUCCAUGUUAAUCUACUGGUUUCAGUUGCUUAAAUUUUUUUGAAAGCUGGUGUGGAAAAAAGUUAGGAUGUGAUAUGUCAUGUAUUUGUCUAUAGUUCGUAUAAAUUAUGCGCACUAUUCCUUUCUUUUUUUUCAAUUUAAUUUUGUCAGCAGUCCUUUUUUUUUUCUUAUUUAAAUAAAGGCAAUCAACAUAUGUUUGAAGGGAAUUUUAACGAAAAACCACAUUUUUACACUAAAAAGUCAAUCCUGAUACUAUUCACUUUACCCUUUAUUUUGUAAUUAUCUAAUUUUCCCAAUUCAUUUUUUGUUUUGUUUGCAAAUUCUUAGGUACGAGUCAACGUUUAUCAAAAACAUUAUUAAAGUGAUAGGAGACAAGUUAAGUCGCACGCCAUUGAGUGUUGAACCAAAAUUGAUUGGAAUUCAAUCUCAAGCCGAACACAUCAAUUUGUGGUUCCAAGAUGGAUCAAGUGAUGUUGGUAUAUUUGUUGUGUAUGGCAUGUCUGGAAUCGGGAAGACAACCAUUGCAAAACAUGUUUACAAUUCAAACUUUGGAAGCUUUCAAGGAAGUAGUUUCAUUGAAAAUAUCAAGGAAACAGCAGAUCGACCAAAUGGCUUAGUUCAAAUACAAAUGCAACUUCUUUGUGAUAUUUUGAACGGCAGAGAAGUGAAAAUACACAGUGUUAGUGAGGGAAUAAUUAAGAUUGAAAGGGCCAUAAGCUCUAAAAGAGUUCUACUUGUUCUUGAUGAUGUUGACCAUAUGGACCAAUUAGAUGCAAUCCUAACGAUGAAAGAUCAGUUUUAUCCUGGAAGUAAGAUACUAAUAACAACUAGGUGUGAAAGGUUGUUAAAGGCAGAUCAAGUUACCGAGGUGCACAGAGUUCAAACUUUGGAUGACAAUGAAUCAUUAAAGCUUUUCAGUUGGCAUGCUUUUGGCCAGGACCAUCCCAUAGAAGAAUACAUGGAGCACUCAAAACAGCUAGUGCAACAUAGCGGCGGACUUCCAUUAGCUCUAAAAGUUUUGGGUUCUUCUUUAUCAGGAGGACGUAUAGGUGUAUGGGAAAGUGCAUUGGAGAAGCUAAAAGUUAUUCCUGAUGGUGAAAUCAUGAGUAAACUAAGAAUAAGCUAUGAAAGUUUAAAAGAUGACCAUGACCGGAAAUUAUUCCUCCACAUUGCUUGUUUCCUAAUAGGAAGGAACAAAAGUUACAUUGUUAGAAUAUUCGAUGGAUGUGAUUUCUAUACAAUCAUUGGCAUUCAAAAUCUCAUUGAUAGAUGCUUGGUGACACUUGAUGAAUACGGCAAGGUGAACAUGCAUGACUUGAUUCGUGCUAUGGGAAGAGAAAUUGUUCGCCAAGAAUCAGAAGAGCCUGAGAAACGUAGUAGAUUAUGGCGCCAUAAGGAUUCUUUCCAAGUAUUGAGGAAAAAGAAUGUAAGAAACAUGUCUUUUAUGUCUAUAUAUGUAUUUCUUCUUGUGAAAAUUACGCAUAUUAAUGUCUCUAUUGUUUCCUUUAGGGUACAAAAAAAAUCCAAGGUCUUUUCCUGGAUAUGCGUAACCAUCCUGCAAACAAUCCAAUAAACACAAAUGAGAUAGUCUUGGAAACCAAUGCAUUUGCAAGGAUGCGCAAUUUACAACUACUCCAUCUUAGUCAUGUACGAUUGGAUGGAUGUUAUGUAGAUUUCCCUACAGGAUUAAGAUGGUUGUGUUGGCUUGAAUUUCCUUUGGAUUCUAUACCAAUUGAUUUUCCUUUGGAGAACGUAAUUGUUCUUGAAAUGCAAUACAGUAGCUUGAGACAAGUAUGCAAAGGAACAAAAGUAUGUUACUCUAUGCAUUUCAAUUCAUUUUCCUUAUUUUGUUAGUUUUUUAUUUGUGGACUAACUCCAUGUGUUAAAAUGAACUAUUAUGUUUUCUUUAAUUCGAUAACUAAUUUCUUAUGUUAGACACUUAUUUCAUUGUUCUUUUUUUUUCUUUUUUCUUUUUCCUUUGUUUCCACAGUUUCUUCCAUCGUUGAAGAUCCUUGACGUCAGCCAUUCUCAUGGCCUUAGUGAAACCAUUGACUUCUCACUUUCCCCCAAUCUAGAGGAACUGAUUCUUGUAGAUUGCACAAGCCUGAAGAAUGUUCAUGAAUCCAUUGGAAACCUGGAGAGACUCGUGUACUUGAAUUUGAAGGAUUGCAAGAAUCUUAGGAUGCUUCCGAAGAACAUGUGCAUGCUUAAAUCACUUGAAACACUCAUUUUAUCUGGUUGCUUAAAUCUUGAUGAGUUUCCAGUGGAGAUGAUGAAGAAGUUGGAGUCUCUGAAAGUUCUUGAGACGGAUGGAAUUCCAAUAGGUGAAUUGUGGCCAAAAAGAAGUUCAACUAUCUUGAGUUCUUUUCCGUGCUCUUUGGUAGAGUUAAGUCUGAAGGGGUGCAAUCUUUCUGAUGAUGUCUUUUCUACGGAUUUAAGUGCUCUAUCCUACUUGCGAAGACUACAUUUGGAUGCGAAUCCAAUUUGCAGUCUGCCAGUUUUCAUCAAAGGUUUGAGGAGGAUCGAUGAACUCUCUUUCAAGGGUUGUGAUAGGCUCGAAUCGUUUGUGGGGUUGCCGGAAGUACACCAAAGGCUAAGUAUAAAAGAAUGCAUAUCAUUAAAAAAAAUAACUUUUCAUUCCCCUGGGCAACAUUAUCUAACACGUGUAUUUUGCAAUGAGAACCGGAAUCUUGUUGAGUGUGAGUGCUAUUACAAGUUAGAGCCUAUUGAUAGAGUUGAUGUGGAAAUGAUCAAACUUUUGGGCUUGUGCAACUUGGAAUCCAUGCCAGCUGUUCGAAUGCGUCAUCCACUCACAAACAGGGAUCCAAAAGAGGUCCCCGUCCAGGUGCGCCUCUCUUUCUCUCUCUCUCGUAAGUCUUAAAUAUAUAAUGGGAAAGAAAUGACUGAGUAAUGUUGUGAUGACUGUGGCAAAUACAUAGGGACUGUAUCAACAUGGUAUAUUCAGCACCUUUUUUGUUGGGAAUGAGGUUCCAGGCCUGUUCAGCUAUAAAAGUACCAAGUCUUCGAUAUCUUUUAUUGUCCCUUUACUACUUGCUAGUCACAGAAUUCGAGGCUUGAACAUCUUUGCUACCUAUGCAAAGGAAAAUUCAAAUAAUUAUUCUACUAGAAGUGUUAUUAGUCCAAUAAUGAUCAAAGUGAGAAACAAGAGUAAGGGUCUGAAGUGGAUCUAUAACCCAGAGUUCUACGGAAUUCCAAGUGACGUAGAAGAUAUGAUAUGGUUGAGCCAUUGGAAGAUGGAGAAUAAAACAAUAUUACAAUGUGGAGAUGAAGUGGUGGUUUCGGUAAUAACCGGACCACGUGACAUGUUUUGGGUAAAGGAGUUUGGUGUCGAGCUUGUGCAAGAGCACCAAGACAAGAUGAGUACCCAACACAACACCAAAUCCGAUCCUAAUUAUCCAUUUGUUAUCGGUGGAGAUUUGAAGAUGUUUGAGCGCAGACCGGGAAUAUACUUCCUUGGCGAUUAUGUUAUAGAAGAUAUUGAUGACAUUGAUAUCCUCACCAUGGACUCUGAUGAAGAAGACACAAGUAUGUUGUGUUGUUGUAUUGCAUUGAAUUAUACUUCAUUCAAACACUUCCAGGUGUGUCCAUAUUCAUUUCAAAAACGUUUCCAAUAAAUUUUAUGUUAUUUGUAUGUUUUUCAGACAAAGAAGGGCAAGAGGAUGAAUCUGAUUACACAAUUGCAAAGACGAGGGCUGCUAGCAAUAACUGCAGCCUGAGAGGCUGGAAGGUGCGCCUCACAACUGUCGGCUUCUUUUUUGCGCUUGCUCUAGUAGGUUGGUCCUCCAUCUCCCAAAAAAAGAAGCGACACUCGUCCACAAGCGCAACAUGAGUUUGUAAUUUGACUUCAAAUGUGCUUGCUCUAGUAGCUAAGCACUCUUAACCGCUUGAGAUAUAAAAGCCCAUUGCAACUAGAUACUGAACUUCAAAUGUGUUCAACGCCAUCAAAUAUAGCAUAAAAUACAUCCAGCAUUAGGUUCCAAGCCCACUAUUGAAAAUCAUGUUCAUCCACUCUACACAUCCAUAGCAGCAAACUAACUAGGAUACCAGGUGGGGAGGAUACAAUCAUUAACAAUUUCAAAAGCUUUAAAUGCAAUCCGAAUACAUGGCAAGUAGGGGUAAGCAUGUGAACAGAAAAUCAGUGAACAUAAUCAAAUCCAAUAAGUCAAUUUUGGCCUAGAUUGAAAUGAAAAAAACAAGGAAAUGCUUUGUGUAUCGAUUUGUUUAUGAAGGAAAUAAAAGCUAUUUCAUGGAAAUAAAACCUGUGGUUACCUUUGUCUUCCUCUGCCAUUUGUCUAUCGAUUUGUUUAUGAAAGAGGCUAUUCUACAAGAUACAGCAUGACAGGUCUUAGUUGGACCAAGUAAACGGCAUGGAAAUGCUUUCUGAAGCAAGAAUCUGAACUCAAGAGCUUUGUGCCAGAGAGACUUCAGAAAAAUGAAAAAAAAAACAUAGAAUACGGGUAAGAAUAAAUAUCGAUCAGACAAUAAUCACGUAUAAAUCAUUUUUUUCAACUUUAAAGUGUGGCUUAAAAAGAAGCUUUAAACAACUAGCAAUAAUUUCAUAUUGAAAAAUAAAACCUAUUUCAUGGAUAUUACAAGAGCCAUUAUUUUGAAAAACACACCUUUUGGUUCUUCACUGCUUGACUUUUAAGAAGAUCUUCGUUCUUGUGACGAUUCAGAUUCUUUAAAAUAUCUCUGCAACGGAAUAAACAAAACCAAUCUAGGCCAAAAUUGACUUGUUCGAUUUGAUUAUGUUCACUGAUUUUUCUGUUCACAUGUUUACCCCUACUUGCCAUGUAGUUUUGGGGUGUUAGGACAUAGUGCUCUUCUCUUUACACACCAGUUUCAAUUUUAUUCUUCGUAAAUUAAGAGACCGUUUGAUAAUAAUUUCGUUUUCAGUUUAAAAAACAUAAAAAACUAAACGGAGUUUUAAAAUUUUGGCCUAAAAUUUUCACUUUUGGUUUUCAAUUUUAAAUUUUUUUCAAAUAACUGAAAACUAAAAAUAGUUACAAAAAGAAAUUUUCAGUUUUUAAUUUACAAAAAAAGUAAAAACUGAAAACUCUAAACUAUAGACUAAAAAUUAAAAAGUGAAAUCGAAAUGGGCUCUGAACAAAAUUGAAAAAAGACUGGGCUGAAUUACUGAAUUCAAAGCAGGGCUUAUUAACGUUACAAGGCCCAAUGGAUCUAUAUAAAUAUUUUUCGUUUUUUUUUUAACAAACGAUACGAUUUAUAUGGGCUUAAUCUUACAGUGGGCUAACAAUAAUGUUGUUCAAAUUUGUUUUUUGCAAGAAUCGAAUUUAAAACUUAUCACUUACAAAUGAAAAGAAAUACCACUAAACCGUAAUCUACUCGUUAUUUUAUUUUAUAUUUUAAGAAAAAAGAAAGAAAGCAAUGAAAAGCUGUACAUAAAAUAAAUACAAAAAGGGAUGAAAUGAAGAAGAGUGGGAGACUAACGUUUAAUUCAAGAUAAAGAAAGAAAGGUGAUCGCACCACGACGGCGGCGACGUGGCGGUCAUUUAACGGAAAAUAACAGACAAAUCAGCCUCCAGAUCAAGUCUUGAAGCACAACUCUGAAAAAUCGAGACUACCUACAACUGAGCUCCGACCAACCGUCGAUGGAUGCAAUCAGGAAGCUCAGAGAUCAGGUCGCCAAGCAACAGCAGGUACUCCCUCUCGUUUGAUUCCGAAUUUGUAUUUCUGUAUGGAUUUUGGUAUGAACAUAAUCUGCGUUGAUUGCGAGAUACUGAGAUUGCUUAAUGAAAUAAUAUGUAUAUAAUUGUUCGAGUUGAAUUGGAUCGAUUCGAAUUCGAAUAGAAUUUCACUAUUUCUGAGCUGUUUGGGGAUGUGUUGGAGUGCAAUGUUGAUGAAUUUCUGAAAUUUUGAGCUAGGUGUUGCUAAUUACUUAUCGAUUUUUUAUGUAAUUGGAUGCUUAAUUUUUACAUUUUCGGAAAACUUCAAGCGAAAAUGGCAUAUAAUUCAACGUUCCAUGCUUCAUUAAUGCAUAAGAGUUGGUCGAAGCUUGAUCGAGUUUGCUUUUGGUUAUUUUGUGAACACCGUCAGGCUGUGUUCAAACAAUUUUCUGGUGGCAUAUAUGGGGGAUCGGAUAAUGUUGCCUCGGAUGAAAAUGAAUUUCAACAGCAUCAGAAACUCGAGAAGCUGUACAUAUCAACUCGUGCUGCCAAGGUUGCUACUCUUAUUUUUGUCUGUGCUUUAAACGAGCAUCACGUUAGUUGUGUUACCUAUCGUUUUUUGCUUCUUCUUUAACAGCAUUACCAAAAGGAAAUUGUCCGCGGAGUGGAAGGUUACAUUGUGGCCGGCUCAAAGCACGUUGAAAUAGGUAUGUUGCUUGAAAUGCGUUGUCUUUUCUUGGGAGUUUGGAUAUGAAUUCAUGUUGGUUUUAUCAGUUGGUAUACAUAAUACUUUUUUAACAGGUACCAAGCUAUCAGAAGAUAGCAGGAAAUAUGGUUCUGAAAAGACUUGCACCAGUGGUAACACAUUGUCGAGAGCUGCACUAAGUUUUGGAAGAGCUCGGGCCCAAAUGGAAAAAGAGUGCGGAGUUCUACUUAAAGCCCUUGGCACACAGGUUUAAGUCAAAUUAUUACUAACAAUGGCUCAUUAAGUAAAAAUCAAAUAUUGCCAGGGCCGGCUUCAUACAAAUGGAAUUUCAACUGACUAAUUUUCGUGUGCAUUUGAUCAUUUCGAAAGAAAUUUACAGUAAAAAUUGUUUCCAUUUUCACGUGUGGUUCAAGAACUGGACUACUUUUUGUGUUAUUAUGCAUCAUAUGACAAACUGGUUCACCAUUUCUUUCUAUAGGUUUGCAUAAUAACUCUUUCUGUGCUUAUCAAUUUGCCUGUGUAGGUUGCAGAGCCUUUAAGAGCAAUGAUAGUGGGAGCGCCCUUGGAGGAUGCUCGACAUCUUGCUCAACGAUAUGCUAGAAUGCGGCAAGAAGCUGAAGCUCAGGUAUAUGCAGUUUCUUCUGUUUCCUACCAAUUUUAUACUAAAGUGAUUUUACAUGUUACAUGGUGAUCAUACAUUUCUCGGUUAACUUUUUUUGUUUUCUUUUAAAAGUGUUUGUUCAUUUUGGGACAAUCAUGCAUUGGUAUUCAUAGAGAACGCAAAAUCUUAAGAUGUUUAAUGUAACUUGUUGAGAUUGCUUCAUUACCUGAAGCUUUGUUGUAAUUUGGUUUUUGUUUUUUUUUUAUUAUUUGUCUAUAUAUACUAACUCGCACCGGGAUAGGCUAUAGAUGUUUCCAGACGCCAGGCCAAAGUACGGGAUUCAGCAGGUAAUGCUGACAUUAUCAUGAAACUAGAAGCUGCUGAAGCCAAGCUUCAGGAGCUGCAGUCUAGCGUUGCAAUACUGGGAAAAGAAGCUAGUGCAGCUAUGGCUGCUGUUGAAGGUCAACAACAAAGAUUGACUCUUCAGCGGCUUCUUGCGAUGGUAAAGGAUUGCCUCCCCUUUUUGUUUAAGUGUUAAGACCUUGGCCUGUUCUAGUUACAAGACUGAAAAGGAAAUUAAUUUUGUAAAUUUGUCAUUUUUCGUCCCCAUUCAAGGUGGAAGCAGAGCGCAACUAUCACCAGAACGUACUUCAGAUACUUGAUCAGCUUGAAGGCGAGGUAUGAAAUAUCCUAAAGUCUUCCUUUCAGCAAGACAAUUUCCUUUCCCAAAUCAUUUGGCUGUAAAUUAUUCUAGUGUCUUGCUACUUUAAGCAGAGAUCAUUGACACUAUUUGUUGGGACAGAUUUUGUCAGAAAAGCAGCGAAUUGAAGCAUCUCCUAGUCCACCUACAGAGGACUCUAUACCUCCACCACCAUCGUAUGAGGAUCUCAGCCGUAGCUUUGCUUCUGAAACCUAUGAUGAAUUGACAGAAUUGAGGGACUAUUUCUUAGGAGAGGUAUCUUUAUGCUAAU